GGUGCUUAACCUGUCUCCUUCAUCUGCUUUUGGUUCUUCGUUUAAUCUUGCCCCUCAAUCGAUUUGAUUUUUUUUUUGUGCAUCUUCGUGUUUGAGCGAACUGAAUUUGGUACUUUACCCUUAUUUUGGGGGCGCUACUGACUGUAUUCAUAGGAGAAGAUGAAAGCUCUACUGCGCUAGUAGACAUUCAUUCAUGGGAGAAGAUAAAGCUGUAUUCACCUCGUCGUCCCAAUCCCAAUCCCACUCGCUAAAUCUGUUUAAACCCUUUACUCUAAAUUUCUCCUCGAUCUAUUCAAAAUCAAUUCCGAUCUAAUUCCUUCACUUCUCUCAGCUGAAUCAUUUCUCAAACUUGUCUCAAUAAAUUGAGUUUGCAGAUUUGCUGUAUAAAAUUAUUAUUAUUAUUAUUGAGAUGAAAUCCAAAAUAAAAUGGGCAGCAUUAGGAGGCCUGGUGUUAUCAUUUGCUUCAUUGAUUGUUCACUUGUUUCUGGCAAAGUCCACUGUUGAUCUUGUACAAUACACUGCAAUUACAGUUUUUACUGAGGAUUUAACUCCAACUUUAGCCACUAGGAAGGUAAUCCACUCUUUCUACUCUGAUUAAGAUUCAAUAAAAUGCUACAUCUAUUGAAUUUAUUUGUUUGCCUAUGCUUAAUUGCUUAUGCUUUGAUAAAAGCUGAUGAUUUUAUUGAAUGACCCAUGUAGAGAAUAUUACAAAUUAUCUAUAAAUAGCACCAUUUAUCGGUACUGAUCAGAACUUCAAAGAGUUUAAAAUGUAAAAUGUUUGGAAACUUUGUAAUCUAUUGUUUCUAGUACUAAUAAUCUGGAUAUCUAUUGUUUUGUUGUUAAAGAGUUUAUAUAUGUUUUAACAAUAUAAUGCUACAUCUUUUAGGGUCCUGCGUUUCGUAAGUUGUGGGGAAAUGUGAAGUCAUUGGAGCCCUUGCACCCUUAUCCAAAUCCAAGAAGUACAUAUCCUGGUAAUCCUUGCAAUUCUUUAGUUACUAGAUUCACCGCACAUGCGUUGCAUGUAUUUGCCUAGUGAUGAAAUUCAUAUAUCGUUGAAACAAUAUUGGCUCUAUAUUUGCCCCAAUAUAACCAUGGAAUAAUCUCCUUACUCUAUUUGGCAUAUCUUAUCCGUGCAAUUCUGUGCAUACUUUAUUUCUUAGAUCCAUUGUAUAUGCAAUAAUGCUAUAUUUUAAGGAUGGUUUCGUUAUAAUCUAAAUGAAGUGUUGGAACACAUGUUUCCGGCUCACCGAAAUUAAGUUUGCAAAUAGUACUCCAUUACGCCCUAUUGACUGGCUGCCUUACUUGUUUUUUGUAUUUUGUUGCUGGACAGUCAUGUUGAACAUCUUUUACAAAGUUCCUUAUUAGUUCGGCAAAUAAUUUGUUGCCGAAUUUUCUGAUUAAUUCUAAGUAAGUAAUUGCGCUUGAAUCAGCAUUUGGAACCCGUAACUCUACACUAUAGUGUUGUGGCCUUUCGAUGUUGCAUGGUGAUUGCCAUCUUGUCUCUCAUUCAACCGAACCUGUGAAUAGUGAAUACAACCAAUGAAAGUUUCAUUAGUGUCAUGUAACAUUCUGUAAAUAGUAAUGGGCUGUUGUGGAAAGUUUUAGAGUUGGUUAGAAGGGUACUUGUGUAUCAGCCAACAAUCCAUCCAUUGUAAUAUCUAACAACGCUUCUGUAGCUUUUUUCAUUACCUUACUUGGUGUUAUUGUAAUAUCUUUCUUUUCGGCCUUUAUGACUUCACACCCUCCAUUUCUGAUGAGAUUAGUUACUGUACAACAUAAAUAUGUGAAGGGCUUUGGUUUUGUAAUUUUGUGGAUUGAAACUCGAUAGGACUGGUGCUAUAUAAUUUCCCCCCAAAAGGUAGCUUGCCUACCUUGUUUAAGUAUAGUUCUAAUAUUAGUUGUGGCAGUGAGGUUAAAUAAAUAAUGUUGAACAUAUAAUACAUGGAGUGUACCAGGAGCGCAAGUCUAGUGCUUUUUGAAACAUUGUAUGGAUCAGCACACUACUCAUGGAAAGAGUUGAAAUCCCAAAAGCCCCUAGUUUGGAAAGAGCAUAUUAAGUGAGAAAUCAACAAAUAUACUCUAAAUAUAUUCUAUAAGCACAUACUGGAGGCUGCCUGAUACCUUUAUAGAUUGAGACUCGCACGUCACAUAAGCCUAGAGUAGGUUGAUUAACGUAUGUGAAUGUGUCAAUGAUAUUACCUCGUUGUCAAUUAAGAUUAUCAUUUGAAAAAUGCUCUCGUGCCUUGAAUUCUUGUAUGAAAUUACCGAACCCUUUCAAAUUACUAAUACUCUCAUCACCCAAACAACGGAGUGUUUUGGUAUCUUGUUAAUCGGAACACUCUGCUUUGAUAGUUCAGUUUCAGUUGCUAUGUUUGCUGAAUCUAGAUGGUUAGAGGUACAGAGGGAAUAGUGAGUAACAAUGUUAACUUAGGGCGUUUUUGUGUCUUAGUCGAAUUAAAAAGAAUCAUAAAGUACAUUUAAGCAAUUUCAUAAGCCCAAUAACAGUGUGCUGCAAGUAGUUUUGUUAAAUUUAGUGGAACAUGUGAAACGGUUUACAGUAUGAAGGGUCCAAGUAUCACCUAUGUUGAGAGCGCGUAUGUUAUAACCUGCGCGAAGUGGCAAAAGUAAGCAUUCCUGGAAACUUAAAGAUAGUGGAACUAUAUACAGGGGAUAGAAUGCGAUGAAAAAUGUUUGGGUGCGUCCAGAACUCCAGCGCCAAAAAUAACAGUCCAUAAUCAAUUUGAAUGUUAAUUUAUAGAGUGUUGGAUAUUUGAGGGGCGGUGUAUCUGGAGCGGAUGGAAUAUAGGUGUGGGAAUAGAUGUAAUUUGCCGAUAAACAUGAGGAUAAAACAAAGAGGGUGGAACUUAGUCACUUACAACUGUUAAAGGUGGCCGGAAUUCAAAGCCAAUUCCAAUAUUUGAUUGUGUUUUCCAGGACCUGGAACAAUGUUGGCCUGAAGCGCAUGAUUGUAAGUCAAAUAAUAAAGUGCAGAUGAGGGCGUGCGAAACAAAGGCAGAACGUUGGUGUUAGAAGAUGAAACAUGCCAUACCUUUUCGUUUUCUUCAGAAAUUGGAAUCGUAAUGGGAGGCGAUGUUUGGCAUUUGGUGGGUAUAAAUAGAGGAAGGAGGGAGAAGUGACGAGUUGCAUCUGUUGGGUUAUUUGAAAGCUUGCGAUGGUUCAGAUUGUGGGCGUUGGAAGAGGCGAUGUUUCUCAGUGGAGUGUGCAGCGCAAUGAAGUAGUGUGAAGGUUGAGCUGUUUUUAGUUAGGUGUUUUUUAAGUUAGAGGUAUUUAUGUAAUUUAACUUUCAAUUUAGGGAGUUCUUUUAAAAUAAAAUAGAUUUACUGUUCUGAAUAAGUCACACCAUCCUGACUGGAUUAUGUAUUUUUAUGAAUCCCUCUUUUAUGCUCUUCUUUUACUUUACUUGCAAAUAUUUAAUGAUAAAUUGCAUAGUUGGAAACUCAAUGAAUAUACUGCAACAUAAUGUGUUUUGUAUAAAGCAAGAAAUGAAGGCAUUGGAGAGAUGAUCUUAUGGUAUCUAAUGAUGGUGAUGGAGCAGCAGUAGUUUCUUCAGGAAACAUUUUUGAACAAAAAGAGAAGACACUCCCUCCAUUAUUUGACAAAUUGAUGGUAUUUGAUCGGGCAUGGAGUUUAAGAAAGAAAUAAAGGCGUUAAGCAGAAAAUGUAUAACAUACCAUAAGUACUCUUAGUACAAUGUUACCAAAUAUAGAACGAUUUAAAUCUUUUUGGGACUAAUAGGAAAUGAAAGAGUAACAUAUAAAAUGGAAUGGAGGGAAUGUGCGCGCAAGUUGGCCUGGUCAUCACGGUUCUCUAAAAGGAAAAAAGGAAUGGAGGGAGUACCAUAUUUUACUAAAGUUUAACGUGCUGUUGCUUUCUAGGUUACAGAGGUAUAGAGUUUACACUUGGCAGUUAUGGUCUACACUUCUAGUUACUUAUAGGUUGGAGACUCUGGUCCAGGCUAUCUGGGAAUUGAAAUUGACUUGCUGCCUUCGCCAUUUUAAAGUUAUUUGUGUUUUUUUAACAACAAUGUUAAGUACCUCCAUCAUCGGUUGGAACUGAUUCUCUCUUUUCACCUAUUUUGUCAUGGUUUCAGUGGCUGUUGAACAGAACAAUGGCUUCAUCUAUGCAAAAAUAUCUGGUAGUUUUGAGAAGAUCAGGAACUCGGUAUGUUCAUUUUAUUGUUGAAAAGACUUCUACCCUUUUUGCACCAAAUUGUUGGGUGAAGAGUUCCUAACAGGUUAUCCUUUUCUCAUAGAUUGUUGAUCUGGUUGCCAUAUCAAGACUUCUAAAUGCCACACUGGUAAUUCCAGAGAUUCAAGAAAGUGCUCGUUCAAAAGGCAUCAGGUCCUGGUUAAUUUGACUUAAAAAAUAAGGAGGAUUUUUGUGAUGCUUUAUUUACAUUCCUGAAUUUUAAAUUAUAUCUAAUUUUUGCAGUUCCAAUUUCAAGAGUUUUUCAUACCUCUAUAAUGAGGAUCAGUUUAUAGCAGCCUUAGCAAAUGAUGUCACAAUUGUGAAGAGUUUGCCACCUAUCUUGAGGGAGGCUAGGAGACGGAAAGAGUACCAAAUUUUUAAGCCCAAAAGUUCUGCUUCUCUAAGAUUUUAUACGUCUGAAGUUUUACCUAGAUUGAAGAAAGCAAAGGUCAUUGGACUAAUAUUGACAGAUGGAGGAUGUCUACAGGUAUGAUUUUUUAGCCCAGUUUCAGGGCUUAAGCACACUGUUGACAACACUGCUUCGCUCAUCAUCUUUACAUCUAGGGACACGUAUAUCUGGAGGUCGAUGCUGCACAUGAACAAACCAUCUCAAGCAACCUUUUGUUUUAUUCUUAAUAUGUACUACUUGCAUUUUUUUUGAUGACAAGGGAAACCCGCAGCCGCUACCCUUUGGGUGCGCACAGGAUAAAACCCCCGCUCCUAUGCAAUAGCUCGCAAACCACAUAGGAGAGGUAACCCGCACUAGGCAAGCCUGGUGUGACGAGCUCGACACAGAAGGCAAACCCCUUGCUUUCGCUGGCAAGGGGUUUCGAACUUGAGACCUCCAACAUGGAAGUCCCAAGCCCAAACCACUGGGCCACCCCGAAGGGUUGUACUACUUGCAUUAUUUGGAUAAUGUUGUCAUUUUUAAACUUGUAUGACUUCACAUCCAUUUUAGCAUUCACAUGUCUGCAUUCAUUUAAAUUAGCUGCCCAACAUUCACUCGCAUAACCUCCGGAUUAAGAAUAUUUCAUGCUUAUUUUCUUAAGAGGAGAGUUUAACAUGAUCAUUACUGAUAUUUCCCUAUUUAAUUUUUAUGUGCCUAAUGCUUAGUUUGUAUUGGCCUAAAAUGACCAGCUAAUCAAGUUCAAUUUCUUCUCAGUCUGCCCUUCCUUCUAGCAUGGUUGAGUAUCAAAGGCUUAGAUGUCGCGUGUCAUUUCAUGCCCUUCAAUUUCGCCCAGAAAUUGAAGCUCUUGGAAAGCUCAUGGUGGAAAGGUAAGGAAUUGAAAUUUUUGUUCUCUGUAUUUGCCAUCUUUUUUUUUUAUCAAGAUAUUUGCCAUCUUAGUUAUUAUCAUCUUAGGACUUAGUGUUUUUUGAACUAAAAGGGUUUGUAUCUGGUAAUUGGUAGCUAAUAUUUGAUUUAAAGAAUUUGUUCUCAUAUUUUUUUCCAGUUCAUAAAAAAAUAUUGUUUUAAAAAAUUUGUAACUUAUGCACCCAAGGGUGUGGCCUAGUGGCCAAUGAAGUGGUUGAGAGCUCUCAAGUUCAAAUCCCAGUGGAGACAAAAAACAAUAGAGGGUUCUUCCCAUCUGUCCUGACUUUGGUGGAUAGAGUUACUUGGUACUUGUUGCUGGUGGGAUGUGAUAGGUAUCCUGUGGAAUUAGUCGAGGUGCGUGAAAGCUGGUCCGGACACCAUGAUCAUCAAAACAAAAAAAAAAUAAUUUAUAACUUACCAUCAGUAUCUGAAGAAUGUCUAAGCUUAUACUUUUUAGGUUGGAAAGACAUGUUUGGUGAAAGUGUAAUUUUUUCAUUCCUUAAAGAUCACAAUGUCCUGGAAGAUUAAUCUUACUGAUAUGCUUGUUUAGAUCUAAGUUGCACUAAGGGUUGAAAGACAUCACAUGUAAUGUUUCCAAAAGCAAAAAUCUAAGAGAAAAUGACGAUGCAUGAAAAUUUUAGGGAAAAGGGAGAAGUGAUGUUCACCCAUUUCUUAAAUGAAAUGCACAAUUUAUCGAAAAUACAAGCCCCCAAGCUUUGGUGUAGUGGUAAGAGCACCAUGUGUGAUAUGUAGGUUUGGCGCACGUCACAGGUUCGUCUGUGCAGAUAGAAGCCUGGUAUUUUAGUAGAGAAGGGUAGAGGGGCAGGUCCUUUAUCCACCGAGUUUCGAACCAUAAGCCUCUGGUCCUCUGGAAUUUCUCAGUUAUCUGGAAAAAGAAGUUUAUCGGAAAAUAUAAAAAAAGACCUAAUAUAUGAAUUUGGUACUGAUAAUAUCAAAAUGCAAUUAAAACUUGUAUGUUCAACUCCUCAACUCUAACAUCAUUUAAUCUAUUUUCAAGAUGGUCACAGAAAGACAACUUUCAUUACAAAAUUGACUCUCAAUGAUACAAAUGAUCAACCAUAAAGUGGAUAACUUCAAUUGGAAAUUGAUGGGCACCUUAUAAUUGAUAAACCAUAAAAUGGAAUGAAUAUGUAAUCUUCAGUUUCAUAUUAAGUCCUCCAGUAAUUUACUAACUACAUUUACAGAGCAGAAGAGAGAAGCAAAUAAGAAGCCUAGAAUCAAUAGUUGCAGGAGAAAAUGACCACAUACUAGAAGAUAAAGAAAGAUUCAUUGCUUGAGAUGAAAAAAAAAUCUUAUUAAAGGACGUUGCAUUAUGGUAGUAUUAGAAGAUGUCGGGUCACAAAUUCGAGAAGAAAAAGAAGAUAAUGAUGAGAAAGAGGAUGCCGAAGCACACAUGGAGUGGAGCUUUACUAUUUAGCUCUCAAGAUCCUUAACUUUUACCCCCCUUUUCUCUUUUCGUCUUUUCCUACUCUAAAAUCAGAUUGAAUGUCUAUGUUAGGUCCACUUUGUGUCUCAUUAAAGUAUGAAGGCAAUAACUAGUUAGCACUCAAGAUCCUUAACUUAUAUCCCCCUUUUUCUCUUUUCGUCUUUUCCUACUCUAAAAUCAGAUUGAAUGCCCAUGUUAGGUCCACUUUGUGUCUCAUUGAAGUAUGAAGGCAAUGACUAUUUGCUUCACAUGACUCUGUCACUUUGAACAAUGAGCUGAUACUUUUAAUAAUACGAAUCUUAUUGACGCUGCAAAGGUUGAAGCCAUUAUUAUGUUAAGUAAGACCAGGUGAUGACCUUUAGUAACACUAAUCAUACUAAUACUGGGAAGGUUGAAGUCGUUAUAAUAUUUACGGUGAAAAUUUUGUUUGGUAAAUGUAUGGACUUAUUUGGUGGGACCAUACAUUUUUCUUAUUGCAUAAACAAGUUGUUAUAUGGUGUGGAAUUCAAUUCUCACAGAAGACAAUCUGAGAAGGAGGAAUUAGAUUGUUGUGAGUUCACAUUACAGAUGCAAAAAAGAUGAAGAAUGUGCAGAUUACUAACUGUUGCAUUGUAGAGCGACUUCACAAGUAUUGGCAGUGGUAUUCUUCAUAAUAUAUCAAUUGGGUUCUCAUUAAUAGUGUGCUACUCAGUGAAGAAUAAGGAAGUACAGUGACUGAGAGGAAAGCAGUGUGGAAAGCUAGUCCACUGUGCAUUUUUUGAACAUUUGGUAUGAAAGGAAUAGGAAGUUGGUUCAACACUAUGAAGAUGAGCUCAAGAAAUAUGAAAAAGGAAUUGCCCCCAAGGCCUAGCUCAAGUGGCAAAAGGUGGAGGAUUUGUGGCUUAGGUCGUAGGUUCAAGCCCCGCACCAUGCAAAGCGAAUCCCGGUAUUUAAGUGGAGAAGGGUAGAGGAGCGGGCCCAUUAUCCACCGAGUUUAGAAGGCUGUGAUUGGUCCAAAGGGCGGGUCACAGACGGAUUUCUCGGUUAUCAAAAAAAAAAAAUAAAAAAAAAAAUGAAAAAGGAACUUGCUUUUUCAUGUAUUUUAAUUUGAGGAAAGAAUAUCUUUCAUGUAGAUAGUUGGAUAGGCUUGACAGAAUAUCAAGUCUAGCCUACAUACUCACCUUAUAUUUUUAGAUGUGCCCUUGGUUUUAACAAAGAACAAAUUUGUAUGGUACUGGUGAAAGAUAUAGCUAAACAAGUUAGUUCAACUUAGCACCAGAUUUCUGAUUUGAUUCAAUUACUAGUUUACCAGUACAAAAAAAGGCUAGAUAUUUUCAUAUGGACUAGGCAGUUGAGAGUUCUGCUUGGCUUGCUCAAAAUUACUCACUUAGACUUAAAUACACACAUUUUCGCUGGCUUUUUGGUGCAGCAUGGUGGGUAUACAUGAAGUGGAUACUUUAAUAGACUUUUCCCCAUCAUUACAUGUGCAGUAAACAAAUUGAGUAUUUGUAUCUUCCCUAAUGCAAAUUUCCAGCACUUGGUGCUGGUCAGUGAACAAAAUGAAAUUACAUAUGAAAUGAAAGUUUAUCUGAUCAACUUCUUGCCUCUUUCUUUUACCUUUUCUUUUUGGGUUGCAUGGAGAGUUUUUGUUUGUCUUGUCAACAGAUGAUAAAAAUAUUUAUUCCUCUCUGCAGGUUACGAGCUUCAGGUCAAUCUUACCUUGCCUAUCAUCCUGGGCUUAAGAGAGAUGCCCUAGCCUAUCAUGGUUGUGCUGAAAUAUUUCAGGUUCCUAACUUUUUCUUUAUCUAUGUACUCUCUUAACCUGAUUGGGGUUACAUCGUACUUGGAAUGUCUAAUCAGUACAUCUCCGCUGGAAAAUGGAAUAAUUUUGGUAUAUUCUGGUGACUUGUUCUGGAUAUUAGCACAACAAAGACAUAUCCGUCUUCAAAUUGUGGUGUGGGUGCCAAUGCUGAGAACAGGGGAUGAUACAUGACAAAACAAGGUUAUUCGGUUCACAUGUGUAAAUAUAAGUUAGUGUAAGUGUCAUGGGUUUCUCUUAUCUUGUAGCUAGUAUCAACUCUAGCGUGUGUUCUUGAAUUCCCUUCCGUUCUUGUGUUCUUGGGAAAUGCAAGAAUUGUGCAUGAGGAUCUGAUGGUCCUAAAGAUUCCACAAACAGUUACAAUUGCCAAGACCACUCUACAUUGAUGAGAAUCUGGGAUUAGAAUCAGCAGCAUAUUCUUAUUCCCUACAUAAUAUGUUUGGUUCAAACAAGUCUUCAAAUCAAAAAGGUUUGAUUGAACCAAUGGGAGGGGAAGAGAAAGGGGGAAGGGGACCUGUUAAGUUUACUUAAAAAGCAGGAUUUAUCAUUGCCACAUCCUUUUUGGCAUGACAAGAGCGAGUGGAUGAGAAUUGAGAUUUACUUCUUUCUUUUUGUCCAAUUCUGGAGGUGUUACUCCUCUCUUUGCUUCAUUACUUCAUAACCAUACUAAGAAAUUGAUCCGAGUUUUGCCCAGCCCCAAAUGAUCAAUCAAAUAGAUUAACUAAGGCAAAAGGACUAAUCGGAUGCAAGUGUAGCAAAGGGAAAGAAUCCCAAGUGUUGAAUCCCACAGAGAAUAAGCACAAAUAACUUCUAAUAGGAUUAUCACCCUACUUCCUAAAACCAAACAAGAAACAAGGAUGGAUUGAGAACUUAAAUAAAAACAAACUAAACAAUAAAUUAAAUGGAUUAACGUAUGAAGCAAAAGGCAAUCUGGUUAAAUUGGGGAGUGUUUACUACAGAAAAAAGAGCAGUCAGGAUUUGAGGGCUCAAUCUUUAAGCUUGCAACACCAGUGGCUUUGGAGAUUCAUUAUUGAAGAUGGGGCUUUGUUGAAGGAAGUUAUUGUUAUGACAUAUGAGCUUCUCAAUUCCUGAAUUGCCAAGCAAUCACAGUUUUCUAUUAUUUUUGGCAUCUGGAAACAUUUGAGAGCAUAAGUGAACUCUUUUUGGCACAACUGAAGCUGUUGGCAAUGGCAUAAAAGCUAGUUUUUUUGGAUAGAUACAUGGCCUGGUCAAUAACCUCAAAAGGAGCAAUAUCCACUCUUUUCACUGUGGCGCAAGACUAUGAAGCCACAAUUUCAAAUUACAGAAUCAGACCACUGAUGAAAAAUCAUUUUUAGGCGGCAUAUAACUGAUUGAGAAAUAGUCUCUGCACACUAAUUUCCAAUGCCCCUCCUUCAACCUUCCUUUUCUUCCACAAAAUCAUAAUGUCAGUUAUUAAGGUGGAAAGUUCUGAAUUAUUCCUUCCAUUCUAUUUCCUGAUGCUUCUGAUUUUGUGGCCUCACAUGCUAUAUUUGGAUAAUCUUUCAUUUCUCAACCUGUCUUUUCAAGUAUAGGUGCGGCUAAAUUGUCAUUCAUUUGAAUCGUUUGAGAAAAACUGAAAAUGGAAAAAAAGUGAUUAUGACUGUAGUUCUGGACCAUGAAGUGAGUUAAUCAUUCUAUUGAUGGGUAUAUAAAAGAGAAGGAAAAAGAAAAAAAAGAAGGGCAGAGAAAGAGGCAAUAUUAGCAGUGUGAAGCAAGGGAGAGUAUUGCUGCAGUUAAUCUGUUGAGCCUAACUGGUCUAAUGAACCUAAUGAUGCCUUUUCCCUUUUAAAGAACAAUUGAUAUCAGGGGGUACCUUUACAUGGAGAAAAGGAGACAGGCAAGACGUAGCAGCAAAACUGGAUAGGUUCCUAUUCUCAUAAGAAUGGGAAGUAUCCUUCAAGAAAAUAAAGCAAACUAUUAUGCCUAGAAUAACUUCUGAUCACAAUCUGCUGCUACUUGAAUGUGGAAACUGGGAGAGGUCAUUAUCCUAUUUUAAAUUCGAAAAUUGGUGGUUGCAAACUGAGAAAUUCAAUGCAAGAGUUAAGGGGUGGUGGGAUUCUGAAUCUUAUACAGGAAUACCAGAUUACAUUCUAGUUUGCAAGUUGAAAGCCCUCAAAGUGAAGUUGAAAGAAUGGAGCAGAACUGUUCAAGGCAACCUAGGUCUACAGAAACAAAACAUUUUAAACCAACUUUCUGAUUUUGAUGUGAUCCAGGAUCAAAGAUGCUUAUCUGAUGAUGAGUCUUUUCUAAGAGCUGUUCUAACAGUAGAAUUGGAGGAGGUGGCAAAAAGGGAGGAAGUGUCAUGGAGGCACAGAUCCAGGGCUGUAUGGUUGAAAGAGGGGGAUAAAAACACAAUUUUUUUUUCACAAAACAGCAAAUUGUCGCAAAGAUACAACAACAUUGAUAGUCUUUUGAUCAAUGGGGCUACUGUAUCUGUGCCAGCAGUGAUCAGGGAGGAGAUCAUAGGUUUCUUCCAAAACCUUUAUAGAGAGAAUGAGCACUGGAGACCUCAGUUCAACCCCAGAGAUCAAGCUAUGUUGAAUGAGGAAGAUAACUUAUUGUUGCAAAGUCAAUUUGGAGAACAGGAGAUCAAAGAAUGUGUGUUUGCUUGUGCAGGAGAUAAGGCCCCUGGCCCAGAUGGUUUUACUAUGGCAUUUUUCAUACAUUGUUGGGAGGUGGUGAAGACAAAUGUAAUAGCAGCCAUUCAGAAUUUCCAUGGUCAAGGUUAACUUUGAAAAAAAGCUUAAAUGCUACUUUCAUUGCUUUGAUCCCUAAAAAGAUGGGUGCAUCAGAAUUGAAGGAUUUUAGGCUCAUUAGUCUGAUUGGCAGCAUCUAUAAAAUCAUAUCCAAGAUCCAAACAGAAAGGCUUAAGAAAGUGAUGUUUAAGUUGGUGGAUAAACAUCAACUAGCUUUCAUUAAGGGUAGGCAGAUCAUGGAUGCCAUUCUUAUUGCCAAUGAAAUGUGUGGAUGUGAGGAACUUAACAAAGUCCUUGUUAUCCUAUGUAAGUUGGAUAUAGAAAAGGCUUUUGAUCAUCUCAACUGGAACACACUUGAGACGAUGGGUUUUGGAAAUAGGUGGAUAAAAUGGUUAAAAUACUCUGUGUUCUCAGUAUUAAUUAAUGGUACCCCUUUUGGGAGAGAUCCUCUUUCCCCUUUCCUUUUUAUACUUGCUAUGGGAGGAUUGAGUGAUAUGUUGAAAACAGCACAAUCAAACAAUAAGAUCGAGGGCUUCUGGACGAAUGAUAGUGAUAUUCUGGGCUUAAAUAUCUCCCACUACUUACAGUAUGCAGAUGACACUUAAAGUGUUCUGUGGUGCAGAGAAAGAGCAACUAAAGCAUCUAAGGGUCAUUUUUAUUCUGUUCGAAGCUAUUUCCGGAUUACACAUAAACUGGGGUAAAAGUUUUGUCUACCCAGUGAAUGAAGUUCCAGAUAUCAAUGGUCUAGCUAGUAUCCUAGGAGGUACUACCUAUCUAGGGAUGCCUCUGGGAGCAAAAAGUAAAUCCAAGAAUAUAUGGAAUGCAGUGGUGGAAAAAUGUGAAAAGAAGCUGGUAAAUCGGAGAAGCCAAUACUAUCUUUGGGUGGAAGAUUAACUUUAAUCAAUAGUGUGCUUGAUGCUAUGCCAACUUACAUGAUGUCAUUAUUUCCUUUGCCAGGGUGUCUUAAAGAAGUUAGACUCCAUCCGGAGGAACAUUUUAUGGCAAGGAAAUGGAGAGGGGGAAAAGAAGCAUCACUUGGUGAAAUGGGAUGCUGUCAUCAACAACAAAAAUUGAGGAGGAAUGGGUAUAAAGCACCUCAAAGUACAGAACCAGAGUCUUCUCUUGAAGUGGCUAUUGAGGUUUGUCUCUGGAGAACAGAGUUUGUGGAAAGAAGUUAUAGCUUCCAGAUAUACAAUGAAAGACCUAUGGAUUACUAAGGAAGCUACAAGCCCUUAUGGGGUAGGUUUAUGGAAAACAAUCAUGAUCUAGUGGCCUAAAAUAUGGAGAAAUUCAAGGAUUCAAAUAGAAAACGGAAGGAAGGCAUCAUUCUGGAAUGAUGUGUGGGUUGAUCAAUACCCUGUGAAACAGUUGUACCCUGUGAUCUACAAUCUGAAUUCUGAACCAACAGAAGGAGGCAACAGUAGCAGAUGUCAUGGACAAUCAAGGAUGGAACCUAUCUUUCAGGAGAAGGUUGAAUGACUGGGAAAUAGACAACCUCACAGAUUUCUUCAGUUCUUUGGAGCAUACCAAUAACCUUGACACAAAUGAAGACAGUCUACAAUGGUUGAGAGCCAAAAAUGGGAAAUUCACAGUAAAAUCAGCUUACAAACACCUUGAUAGGUCAGCUGCAAUGCUCUUAUCAUGGCCUUGGAAGAUGAUAUGGAAGUUAAAGAUACUCCACAAGGUGGCUUGUUUCACCUGGUUGGUAGCCAGGCAAACAGUACUGACUCAGGACAAUCUAAUGAAAAGGGGAAGGGAAUUAUGUUCCAGGUGUUUUUUUUGUGAAGAGAAACAGAGACAACAAACCAUCUCUUCAUUCGCUGUAGAGUGACACUGAAAUUGUGGCAUGCGUUUUUUAACUUGAGGGGUAUCAGUUGGUCCAUGCCAAGGCAUACAUCAGAAGCCCUAACGGGAUGGAAUAGAGAAGGAAACAUGUCAGGCCAUAAGGAGAGAUGGAAGAUUGUCCCUGCUUGCAUCUGGUGGACAAUAAGGAAGGAAAGGAACCAGAGAUGUUUUGAAAACAAGAGCAUCCCUUUCCGCUUGAAAUUGAAUUGCCUUAUAAACUUUUAUUUUUGGUGUAACUAUGUACUCCCCAGAAAGGUGGAGGAUAUUACUCACUUUUUAGAUAGUUUAGGAGGAGUAAAGGUUAGACAUAUUUGGUUUUGCUAACUUUAACUCCUGAUGUAAUUACUACUGAUACACUAUUGGUGUGUUUUGUCUAUAAAAUGUUGAACUUUCUCAAAAACAACAACUGAUAUCAUGACACCUGUAAUAUAUUGCUUUCUCUUGGUGUAGGAUGUUCACACAGAACUUAUACAAUACAGGAGGGCCCAGAUGAUUAAACAAGGAAUUAUCAGUGAAGAACUUAAUGUUGACUCACAUGCUCGGAAGAGAAAUGGAUCGUGCCCACUCAUGCCAGAAGAGGUACUUUUUGAAUUCUCUUUAAAUCUUCAUCAAAAGUUUAUUCAUCUGGCUCAAAGUACAGUUUUUAUAAGUAACUUUAUACAAUAUAUUACAUUUUAAGUUACCUUUUGAUGCAGACACUUUUUAGAUAGCAUCCAUGCAGUGCACAUUUUUUCUUCUUUUUUUGCUAAUUAGUGCAUUUUGUUACCAUCUCAUAGUUUAAUCUCCAGUUCAAACUUCUUUAAAUACAGUAUAGGGGUCUUCAUGUUCCUAGAUUUACUUUAUGCUCUAGAUUCUUUUCUCACAACUAGGAAGAGAUUUUGCGAGUUCCUUAUUUGCUUGCCAAUUGAUGCAGAGAUGAGAUAUUAAGGCACUGUAAAGAUCAAAGCAUUUUUUUUAUCGGUAAAAUAAGAAGUAUUAUUCAUGUCAAAAUAAUAAACAACAUAUAGAUAAUGUUCUUACAGGUUGCAUUCAAAAAAGAGAGUAAAGACUUUAAAAAAAGUGUAGUUAGUUUAGCCAAUGAAUUUGCUGCUAAUAGUUUAAGAUGUCGGGAUAUACACCUGCUAGCUAUCUUCUAUAUCGGUGAAUAAAUCAAGAUUGCCUUAGGCUGAGACAUCAAUAGCUUGUUUCUGGAGAUAUUUUCACAGAGGAGCUGCCGAUAAUUCAAACCCUCUUUGUUGUUCAUUGAUUGAGCUUGGGAAGGUUGAUGCAAAUGCUCUCUAGUUAUAAGCCCAGGUUCUUUCAUUCACAGAAUUGCAUGUUCUGUUCUUUCUCAAAAGAAAAAAGAGAGUUAAAUACCUCAAAACCCUGUUAAUUAUUCACAUUCUGUUAGUUUAAUGCUUAAACCAUCGGGUGUUGCUGUUACCCCUAGAACUAUAACAUUUCCUAUGUAAAACCUCCCUGCAGUCGUUCUAUUUCUUAAUUCUUCAUACAUUUUUGCAAAUUUUAGGUUGGCCUUCUGCUUCGAGCCAUGGGUUAUCCACCUAGGACAAGAAUAUUCCUAUCAGGUUCUGAAACCUUUGGCGGACAACGGGUUAUGAUUCCUUUACGCGCCAUGUACACCAAUUUAGUUGAUCGUACUUCUUUGUGCAGCAAAACAGAGCUAGCCAAUUUAGUUGGCCCUGAAACCCCCCUUAUUCCUGAUCCUGAUCAGCUUUUACCAGUAAAAAGUCCAAAUCAACUAAAAUCAGAAUGGGACAAGUUUGGGAAGUCCAAAUCAACUAAAAUCAGAAUGGGACAAGUCUGGUCCCCGCCCAAGGCCUCUACCACCUCCUCCUGAUCGACCUAUUUAUCGACAUGAAAAAGAAGGCUGGUAUGGGUGGGUUGCAGAGAAAGAUAAGGAACCAGAACCUUCUCUCAAUGAUCAGAGGGAGCAAGCACACCGACUGCUAUGGGAUGCUCUUGAUUACAUAGUCUCGGUGGACGCUGAAGUUUUUUUCCCUGGUUUUGACAAUGAUGGUAGUGGGCCUGAUUUUGCUAGCUUGGUGAUGGGACACCGACUUUAUGAGAUGGCAUCUGCAAGAACAUUUCGGCCAAACAGGUAAAACUAACAACAGUCCUGGUCCUUUCUUUCUUUGGUGUUUACUAUUUCUUUUUAUUUACCAUCACUUUCUAAAAUGUAUCUUGUAUAUGCAGGAAAUAUCUUGCAGAGCUCUUUAAUACUACCGUCGAUCAUCUUUAUUAUCCACCUCGUAAUUGGACUUUUGCUGUCAGAGAACAUCUCAACAAAAGCUUGGCAGAAGAGGGCCUUUUGAAGGAAUCUAAUCUAUCAAAAACAAAGUUUUUCCUCUCUCACCCUAUUCCAGAAUGCUCAUGUUCAACUGUCAAGGCUACUGAUAUUGUGCAUUCAGGAAAGAACAACAAUCUCCAUCUGUUGUUUGAAGGGCAGGAUGAGUGCCCCAAAUGGAUGCAACAACUAAGAACUCAAGAGGCUAAAGCUGAUGAAGUUGAUUCUCAAGAAGAUGAGACUGAUUUAGACAGGCAGUCAGAAUCCGAAGGAUACAAUGGAACUGAUGCAAUUCCAUCCCUGGAACAGGAUGAGGAAAUGGAUCCGGAUGAUUAGGAUUAGAUGUACAUAUCUUUGCCUUCAUUUUCUUGUUCAUUUCCCUCUAUGCCACCGACGUCAAGCCCCACUCUGGAUUAAUCUUUUCUAAGAGUGUAAAAACUUACAGCAGCAGCAUGCUGCUUUUGGAAUGUCUGGAUGCACUCCCAAUUUUUUUUUUUGGGCCAAAUUAACUGCAAGCACAGUUCUUCAAAUGUGCUUUAGAAGAAUCCAUGCAGUCUGCUUAGAGUUCAUUGCUUGGCAUCUGGACUCCAUUGGUCUCUUUGAUAGAACUCUCACUCUUUCUCUCCUUCAAGCAGGACAAGUUAUCCCAUCUUCUACAGGUAUACAGCAUACAAAAGAUGUCUAAAUUUCUAGUACUUUGCAACUGCACAAAGCAAAAGUGACAAUGUGAAGCCAUAUAUAGUUAACAACGAUUCUUUGAUUUUUGUUUCACAUCUUAAAUGUCUUUUCAAUAGAUGUUCGAACCUUUUGGCUAUUGAGUAGUUUCGAAUCCAACUAGCUUUCAGUAUAUUGAAAUUGUCUCUAGAGGAGUAAAGACCUAGUAGGAGAUGUAGUGGAGGACCUGCAGAAUAAUGGUGCCUAUGCCAAUAGCUGAAAUUUCUUGAAGCUACUCACAUGGUGCAAGUCCGUUGGCCUUGUUCAAGUUCUACUUGGACAAUCGCUCUGAGAGAAGGUACUCCAAAAGUUAUAUGGCUAAACAAUACGUACCGAGAUACAACAAUUACUUCUCAAAAUGGUGCUGAGACUUGUUGGCUGCAGCCUAGAAUUUGCAGAGCCAGUUGUGGUGUAUUCGUGUUGGGACUAUAUAGAUUUCUUAGUGAUUUUCUUUUCGGAAAUUGUAAGCAUGGCAAUCAUGAUUAUAGUAAAACAGUACUACUAUCUUGGAGAAGCAGAUUUAGGAUUGCCAUUGAGGUCGCUUCAGCUCUUUUUGACCUAUUAUAACUAAUGCUUGCAUUAGAGUAGGCUGUCUACAUCACACCAUGGGGGUGUUGUCCUUCUCUGAACCCUGUGUGAGCCAGGAUGCUUUGUGGAUCGGGCUAACCUAAUAAUGAGGUUGCUUCAGCAGUUGUUUAUCUCCAUAGUGAAAUUAAUUAAUACGCCCAUUAUCUCUACACACGUCAAAGGUCAUAAUAGAUCACACUAACAGUAUUGCAUACAACAACAAUAUACCCCGUGAAAUUCCAUAAAGUGAGGUGUGGAUGUACACAUGCCUUAUUAGGUAGAGAGGCUGUUUUCGAAAACAUGACAACUAAUAACAAAGCAAUGCGGACAUAUAUGCAAGGAACUUUAACAAAAACAACAAGAAGGUGUGAUCAUCUAAAUACACCAAACAACAUAUGAUAUCAUCUACUCAAAUCCACCGACUACAUGAAUUGGCUAAUACCACAUUCAACUAGCAGUAUUUAUUUGGCUGAUAGGUUCAUGAAACACACAAAAUGUUUCAAUAUGUGUGUCCACCAAAACGUCUAUGUCUUCGUUGAAAGGAAAAUAUGGCCUCCAUGAGAGCUUUUUCUCCAAAAUCAGGAAAAAGAGUAUUUGUAAAAUACAAUUCAGAGUAAGCUAGCUGCCACAAUAAGAAGUUACUGAUUCUUUGUUCUCCUCCAGUCCUUAUGAGUAAAUCAGGUUUUGGGAACUUGGCACAGUUGGUAGUAAGUUCUUGUUCAAAUAAUGUGUUGUCAAUAUCUUCUAAUUGUAUAAGACCAUCCUUCACUUUACUUGCAAUGUUUUUGGUUGCUUGUAACAUGUCAUAAUGUCCUCCAUAGUUUAGUGCCAUCAUAAGAUGAAGUCCUUCAUUGCCUUUGGUGGUCUCUUCUGUUAACUCUAUGCCUUCCUGUAAUUUUGUGGGAAGUUUGGAUUUACCUCCAAUAACAGACACCCGUACCCCAAGCCUUGUGCUCAGCCUGGAAUAUAAUCAUGAAAUUGAAAAUUCCGAGCUCUACGUUUAAAACUUUCAACACAGUCAUUCUUUAGUAGCUCGUACCAAAAUUGAAAAGCAGUAAUACGUUAUUUUUUCAGUCAUACACAAUUGUUUGCAUAUUUUAUUGAUCGUUAAAGUAAGAUAAAUAUAUCGCUGGGAUUAUUGCAAGUUUCCUGGCUUUCGUCCUUCCUUUUACGUUUAAAUUCUUGGAAAUUUUUUGUCUUUUUUGAAGAAUUAUCAAACUAUUAUUCUUUAGGUAAAACGAUUUAAUAGUUCUUGUAUAAUUCUAGUUUUAGUGUCUCGUGUUGAAAUGUAUAAUCAUCUCAUAUAUGAUAUAUGCCUCUUAGGUGCUAGUGUGGUUACUUUUUUUUUUUUUUGUGGGCCAAAUACGUAAUUUUUAAUAAUGGGUGGCUUGAGAGAAUCAAAUCCACAUCUUUCUGCUUUGAUAUUAUAUUGAAACUUGUGACAAAUUUAAACAGUUAAGAGAAGAGGUACACAUUUUUAUUGUAUUAUGAUUCAAUAUACACCAAACAAAUAAAUAUUACCUCAUAAAUUCUUCAAAGAACUCUUCAAAUAGUUGCAUCAAGAAAUCAACCUCCUCCUGUUCAAAGCCAAAUUGUUAUUCUUGAACAACGGUGAAAGAAAAUUAUUCAAAAUCACAUAAAAACAAGUGGCAAAAUCCUACGCGUUAAAUUGCAAAUGAAGAAUAAAUUACUCUCGAGUAUUAUAGUGCGGCAACUGCAGGUUUGGCUAAACUUUUUAAUUUUAGUUCAAACGUUAUAUUUGUUUUAAAGAUUUAUUGAAUAUAUAUAAAUUAUUAUCUAACAAUUAAGAUUAGAAUCAACCAUUCAUAAACCUUCAAAUCUUGCCUCCAUCUCUUAGUAAUAAAACUAACCAAUUAUAUUAACGUGUCAACAUACUUUUGCAUGCGUUUAGCUUACUUUUUGUUACUAGUUAACAUAUUUAUAUAUCGAUAGGCUAAUUAAUUGCAUUAGAAAAUAGAUUCAAAUUCAGUAUACAUGCAUGUAAAUUGCAAUCAUAAGAGGAAACAAAUAAUCACAAAAAUUAAAAUAUACAUCCAUAUUAGUAUCGGGUAUCGGUUCAUCUGAACCUAGGACUUUUGAUGGGAAUCAUAAAUUAUGCCAAAGGUAUGAGGAUAAAUUGUGAAUAAUUUUAAAUUCUAAAUUCAUCUCUAUACGCACCUUGGAACGAUUCCAGUUUUCAGUAGAGAAAGCAAAAGCAGUGAUAACUUGUAUUCCAAGUUUGGAAGAAAUGUUGCAAAUAUUCUUGAGAUUAGGAGUAAGAAAUUUGUGACCCUCUUGCACUGCUAAACCUCUAGCCUUAGCCCAUCUCCUGUUCCCAUCCAUUAUUAUAGCAACAUGUUUAGGUAUAAGCUCUGAAUUAUGAAUUAUUUCGAUACUAUGACGACGGUCAUCAUCGAUGCUCAGUGAGUUUGAAAUCUUGAAGAAAUGACCACAUCGACCACCACAUAUUAACGAUGGAAGAGUAUAUAAAUUAUAAGAGCUCUUAGAUAUUGGCCUCCCUACAAACAAAGAGCUCAUUUCCUCAACUUUUGUUUUUGGUUCUAAGUUAAGUAGAGUACUUGAGCAAGUAUAGGUCUCAAUGGAACUAAUCAAUGCAUUAUAUGUUUCAAUAUAUAAUAGGGCAUGAUGGAUGUGAGUUGAAAGCACAUAGCACUAAUUAUAUCCUCAUUGAAUUUAUGGUUAUCUAUUUCUUUUUAUUUGUAAACAAAGACAAUAUAUUAAUAAAACUUAAUAUGCAUCAAUACAUGGUCAUGACAGAGAGGUGUAACUACUACUAAGGUUACAAGGAGGGGAGUUAAAAUAUGUACCUAUUACAAUAUCAUCUAAAUUUGUAAAUGGCUUCUAAUUAAGCAUAACAAAAAUAAUUUCUUCUUUAUCUGUUUUUGGCCUUUUAGAAACAAGCAAAGGUGGAACUGUUGAUUUAAAGUUAGUUAAUCUCCUACCGUUAGUUCAAAGUGGACUGCUUCCGUUUCAAUUUAUGGACAUAAAACCUGUUUGGAUAAACUUAUUAACAGUAACUAAAUAUACAUAUUAAGGGCCGAAAAUCACUUUUAGGAGAUGAAACUACUUUUAUAAAUAAAUAGUUGUGUUUCGAUAGAGAUGUACUAAAAUAGAUAAUAGAUAGUUAGCGUAUUUGGUUCAAAAAUUGUUACUCCCUCUAUUUUAAUUUCUUUAUCUUACUUUUCUUUUUAGUCCAUUUAAAAAAAAAAAAAAAAAACUCUUCCCAUUUUGGCAACUCUUUUUUUAAUUUCAACUUUCCCACAUGACCUGUUUAAUUCAUGUUUAAUUAAGAUUACAAGAUUAAACACAUUUUGAUACAUUUUACCAAAUGCAUAAAUAAGCUAAAAAAAAAUUACUUAUAUAAGGUAAUUUGACUAGCUUAUUACAAGCUUAGCCAAAUACUUUCAAAGUUUAAUUUAGCACAGGUAAAAAAAGAAUUAUUUUUUUCGAAACUUGUGAAAAUAAAUACUCCUAUGCCAUAAUGUUUGUGGGUCUAAAAAACCUUCUCAUCAAAGGAAUGAGAAAUUUAAAGUUAAAAGUUAAAUGCUUAUCAAUUUAGGAAUGUGUUACCUUUUUUAGGAAGUACAAAAUCAACUAUAUCCCAAUUGCAAAAUCAUUGAAUUGUGGGUGGAUUUUAAUUAGUAUAAGUCUGGCUUGUGAAUGAUUUUAACAGAUAAAAUGAUGAUAAUAUCAAAUCAUAUUAAUUCGGCAGGAUUUGUAAGUAAUUUAAUAAUUAAUAUAAAUAAAAUGAAUAUAGUAAAAAUUAAAGUCAUAUCAAUUUGUUCAUGACUUGUGUAUUAUUUAUAACCUGUUUCGCCCCAAGAAUACUUGGAAAAAAUUUGGGAAGUGGUGUUUGGUCAUAUAACUUGACAAAUAUAUUUGCUAAGCAUCUCAAGUUCCCAAAUACUAGAAAAAAUUAGUAUUUAAGCCAAGUUCUAUUAUUUGAGAAUUUUAAAAAAUUCAAAAAUCAUCCCAAACUUUUAUAUUUUAUAAAAAAUACUCAUUAUUUAUUAAUUCCAACUAAUAUUUGUUACUAUCUCCUCCGAAAAAGUUUGAGUUAUAAUUUGAGAGAUAAAAUUGAGAAAAAAGAACAAGUUGUGUUUAAUGUGUUAUAAUUAUAACUGAAUCAGUGACAAGUUUUAGUAUGUGUUUAGUGUAUUGUCUUGCCUAUGUUGUUAUUUUAUUAUUGUUAAUUGUUAUCAAUUAUAUUAUAAGAUUAUUUUUUAACGGAACAUAUUCAUUAUAAAAUGAUAAUAUAAAUUUAUGGGUGUUUUUAGUAAUUUUUAGAACUUAUACAUAUAAAUCAUAUUUUUUUGAAAUAGUCAAAUAUUUUUAGGCAAAUUUGGGGCCAAAUAGGUGAAACUUCACCAAAAACUUCACUCAAAUAUAAUUUACCAAGAAUAUUUGAGAACUUAGGGCCAAACGCUAGCUUAAUAAAAUAGGUAAAAUGAAGAUGAUAUCGAUCAAGUCACUAUUCAUGACUUACGACUAAUUUAACAAGAUAAAUAUAUCCAAAACAGUAUAAAGUCAUACAAAUCCAUUUCAACUUGUGAACAAUCAAGUCAUAUCAAUCCAUAAUUAUUUAAUUUGUGAGCUAUAUAUUUCAUCAUAGCUUGGUCCUUCGUACGUAGUAUUGUUAUUGCUAAAUAUAUAGCAGUUUGAUCAUCAAAUAAUGUCUAUAUAUGGAUAGUAGUAAAACAUCGGUUUAUACUUACUAUUUAUAGAUUUUUCAGUUUUAUUGAGAGUGAUGUAUAUAUCUUCGUUAUUUGCUUGUGCUUCGUUACUGAAUUUUGUUUAUUCGAUAUUCCUUUAGCAUCAUUUUAUUUGUCGUUUUAUUAAAAAUAGAUCGUUCAGAAUAGUUGUUAUUUUAAAAAUUAAAAAUAUAAUUGAGUAUAUUUUUUCUAUUUUGCUGUUAAUAAUAAUUAUUCUUGAAAGAAAUAAAUAUUGACUAAUUAAUAUAUAAAAUCUAAGUGAAAGCAUGUAUAUAUACAUACUCUAAUAUUAUGAUUACAUAGAAUAAACUUUUUUUUAAUUUCCUUAAUGAGAGAUAAAAGAAAAAUAUUUAUUACAGAGAAGUUAACAUUUUAUAUUAUAUAUAUAAUAAAUAAAAAUAUGAUAAUUGAAAUGAUCCGAAGGACAUCCCUUAAUUCCCAUAGAAGUGAAUAAAAUAUUUAAAAAAUUCAUGUGAUAUUGGUAUAAGAUACUGUCAAGUUUUAGAGUGAUGGGUAAACUAUAUUGUGUAGUAUAGGAUAGAGCGCUAAGUCAAUAACUCAUUUAUUUAGAAGAUAUAAGUUAUAUAAAUGAAGAGUUGAGAUGAUUGUGUGCACAUAAUAAAAGCAAUAAGAUUGAGAAUAAAGAUAUUCUAGACAAGGUGGAAGUGACGGACCUCUGUGAUAGAUAAGAUGAUGGAAGGGACCAUUGAGUUAGAUUGUUUAGGCAUGUGAAGAAGAAAUGUGUAAAUUCUCUAGUUAGGAGGUGUGAAAGAUUGAAUAUAGUUGAUACGAAGAGAGGUAGAGAUAGACCGAAAAAGUAUUGGAGAGAGGUGAUUAAAGUGUAUGAUAUGCACGAAAUUUAGUUUAUCGAAGACGACAUAUAUAGCCUUAGAUAGAAAAUUUGCAGAUCACAAAUUAAACUAGAAAGUUAGCAGGUAGUUAAAUAUUUUCUUUACUUUUUGAGGGGAUUAGGCUUGGGGGUUGCUAGUCUGGGGCGUCAUAUCUGUUGUAGUAAUAACUUUAUUCAUGUAGUAAUUUCUAGCUUUUGUUAUUUAUCAUAAUUUGGUAUUUUUUUUUAUGUUACUAUUCCUUGCUUGUAUGCGCUACAUUAUUUUUUUAUUAGUUGUCAUGGUUUUCUUUAGGGAUAAGGGUCUGAAAAAUAUCUUAACUUUGGUCGAAUUUGAUAUUGCGAUACUAAACUUUCAUGAGGAUCUAUUGCCUCCCUAGACUAUUUAAUACCAUAUUUUAAACAUAUAUACUUGCCCACGUGGACAAAAAAUAAUGCAAAAUUAUAAAUAGUAAUGUGUCCACGUGGGCACAUAUAUACCUUUAAAAUACACUAUUAAAUAGUUCAGGGGGGUAAAAAAUACGGUAUUAAAUAGUAUAGGGAGGUAAUAGGUCCUCGUGAAAGUUUAGUAUCGCAACAGCAAAUCCGACCAAAGUUGGGGUAUUUUUCAGAUCCUUAUCCCUUUUCUUUACCACAAUUUUUUCUUUAUUACUACUUUAAUUUGUUUUACUUCACUUGAGCCAAUUGUCUUUGCAGAAACGAUAUUUCUAUCUCCAUGAGGUAAGAAUAAAGUCAACGAAUAUUCUCUACUCUCUAAACUUCACUUUACAAAAUUUGACCAGAUAUAUUACUGUUUUUAUCAUACAUGGGUAAAUAUUUUACUGAUUGCCAUAAUCAUUCAUUAUACGUAAUUAUCGUAAUCAACAAAAAGUGAAUAUUGUUUCGGUGCAUAUUAUCAUAUUAUAUAUAGUGUUCAUUGGAGUCCGGAACCAAAAGGGUAAGAAAAUUUUCCGAAAAUUCCAAAAGGGCAACAAAAUGAAUUAUCAAACCAAAAGGGAAAUAUUUUUUGAUGCCGUUUAAAUUUGUUUAAAUUAGGGUAUCCGCUGCAAGGCGUGGAACCCCAUGCGACUUGCAAGGCGCGACCGCCUUUUAGCCUUGUAAGACUCAGCCGUCAUGCUCCUUACAAGGAGCAUGGGUUUCAGCGCUUUGCUGCCUAUUUUUAAAAUAUUUUUUUUUGGUCCGAUUUUUUUAAAUAUUUUUUUGUUCAAAUAUAUUAUUAGUAUUAGUAUUAUUUUUUUAAAAAAUUUGUUCAAAUAUUUUUUUAAUCUGUAUUGUUAAUAAAUUUUAAUUUAUAAUUUUGAUAUUAUUUCAUAAAUGAUAAAAAUUGAUUAUUCGUAAAACCUUUUAAUUAUAGAUAGUGUUUAAAUAUAUUAUUAUUAUUAUUUUUAAAAAUAUACUAUUAUUGUUAAUAUUUGUUUUAAAAGUAUACUAUUAUUAAUAUUUUUUCUACAAAACACACUCUAAUGCUUUUAUUAUUUAUUUUUUCUAAAGGAAAUGCAUGUACAAAACGUAAAAGAUUUAAAAGACAAAUAAUAUAAAUUCAAGGGAAUAAUUUCUAUGAGAAGGUGAGUAAGUUCUUAAUUACGAAAAAUAAUAGAAUAUUUGUUUUUUUUUACCUAGUGAAAUUGAAUCUUUUAUUAUUUCUUUUUGUUUUAUUUAUUAUUUUACCAGGGUAUCGGGAUUGCUAACACAUAAUUUUUCAACAUGAAAUCUACAUAAUUUUUUUUUAUGUUAGAUGCUAUCCAAAUUUUAUUAGAAAUAGUAAGAAUGAAAAGUACCUUCUUGAAAUAAAAUUUCACCAAAUUAAUUUGGAUGAAAAGAAUCAUGUUAUGUCUUAUUUUUACAAGGUGAAGAAACUAAAAUGUCUUUUGUUACUAAUUUAUCGAAAGCGAUAAAAUCUUAAAUAAAACAAAAAAGUGAAGCAAAAAGAAAUAAUAAAAGAUUCAAUUCCACUAGGUGAAAAAAAAAAACAAACAAAUAUUCUAUUAUUUUUCGUAAUUAAGAACUUACUCACCUUCUCAUAGAAAUUAUUCCCUUCAAUUUAUGUUAUUUGUCUUUUAAAUCUUUUACGGUUUGAACGUGCAUUUCUUUUAGAAAAAAUAAUAAUAAUAGCAUUAGAGUGUGUUUGGUAGAAAAAAUAUUAAUAAUAGUAUACUUUUAAAACAAAUAUUAAUAAUAAUAGAAUACUUUUUAAAAUAAUAAUAAUAAUAUAUUUAAACACUAUCUAUAAUUAAAAGGUUUUACGAAUAACCAAUUUUUAUCAUUUAUGAAAUAAUAUCAAAAUCAUAAAGUAAAAUUUAUUAACAAUACAGAUAAAAAAAUAUAUAUUUGAACAAAUUUAUUUUAAAUAAUAAUAAUACUAUGUUUGAACAAAAUUUUAAAAAAAAUGGGACAGAUAAAAAAAUAUAUAUUUGAACAAAUUUAUUUUAAAUAAUAAUAAUACUAUGUUUGAACAAAAUUUUUUAAAAAAAAGGUAAAAAAAAAUAGGACCAUUUUUUUUUAAAGGAAAAACUACCUAGUUAGACAUACUUUAGUAUCAUAUAUACUUAAUUUACCUCUAGUUUAAAAAAAUUACGCACAAUAUCACUUUUAUUUUUUAUACCAUAUAGUUUAAAAUAUUUAAUUAGAUACACAAAUCUCUUAUAUAUGAUAUUAAAUAAUUAUCUUAAAAUUUAAACUCAUUAAUUAAUGGUAAAUUAUCAAUUCAAAAAGUUUUUCUCUCACUUCGAUCUGUUGCUCCCUCCCCAAAUCCCAUUACCUUCCGUAUCUCUCACCCCCAGCCCACCCCCCACGAUCUUCAAACACUUUCACCAUCUCCCUUUCUUUCUUAAUCCUCUCAAUUCCAUGUCCCUAAUUCAAAACUAAAUCUUGAUAAUCACAAGUAUACAAAGAUGUAAAUUACUUUUUUUUCAUUAUUCUAAUGUAUCUUGGUUUUACAUCUUAUUUAUGUAUCUGAAAUAGAGUUCAUAUUUCUCUAAAGUUCUAUUGUAUAAACUUUUACAAAUUAGGCUACGAGAUACAUGCUCGAGAUACAUAUAGCAUUAUUAAUGGAGAGAAGCAUCAUCCACCUUUGUAACGAAAUGAAACUAGCUUGCACAAAAGGCAAUAAAGAACCUUUUUGGUUGAUGCAUAUGACAAGGAUUUUGGUCGUUCAGCCGAGAUCAAUAUCAAAGGAGAAAACUACAUGAUUCUCUGNNNNNNNNNNNNNNNNNNNNNNNNNNNNNNNNNNNNNNNNNNNNNNNNNNNNNNNNNNNNNNNNNNNNNNNNNNNNNNNNNNNNNNNNNNNNNNNNNNNNNNNNNNNNNNNNNNNNNNNNNNNNNNNNNNNNNNNNNNNNNNNNNNNNNNNNNNNNNNNNNNNNNNNNNNNNNNNNNNNNNNNNNNNNNNNNNNNNNNNNNNNNNNNNNNNNNNNNNNNNNNNNNNNNNNNNNNNNNNNNNNNNNNNNNNNNNNNNNNNNNNNNNNNNNNNNNNNNNNNNNNNNNNNNNNNNNNNNNNNNNNNNNNNNNAGAGUACAAUAACAAAAUGGUUUAUGAUUUCGUUAUUUUAGGAAAACUUGUUAGAGUUAAUACUCAAGAUCCUGUAAAUCUGUUGGGUUGUUAAUUAGUCAACAAUCAAUCCUUUAAUAAAGGAAAUAAGUUACACCCCUUUAAUUCAAAUUGAUAAAUUAUUUAUCUUAGCUUUAAAAACUGUUGGAUACUUGUAUCUCUGCCCUUAAUGAUGCAUGUAUCUCGAGGUCAAAAUAUGGUAUAAAAAGUAAUAUUAUAAACUAUUGGGAAUUAUAAUAAUUAGGAUCUAAAUUAGUGGGAUUUAUGUAAGAUGCCCUUUUUUUAAAUAGGCAGCAAAGCAAUGAAGCCCAUGCGCCUUGGAAGGCACAUGUCGGCUGAGCCUUACAAGGCUAAAAGGUGGCUGCGACUUGCGAGUCGCAUGUCUUGAGACGAAUACCCUAAUUUAAACAAAUUUAAACAACAUCAAAAAAAAAUUUCCCUUUUAAUUUGAUAAUUAAUUUUGUUGCUCUUUUGAAAUUUUAGUUUUUUUUUUUUGCCCUUUUGGCUUCAGACUCAUGUUCAUCCCAUUUGAUUGAAUAAUAUUAUUAAAUAAUGAGCAUAAAAAAAGCACAUGUCACAUCAAUUAUUGUUCAUUGCACUUGAUAUUAUCAAAUAAUGAGCAUAAAUAAAUAAAAUGUUCAUGGUCAACUACGAUCAUCAUAAUCAUCAACUGCACAUACUUAUUAUAAAUUUUGAAACAAUAUCAAUUAUAAAUAAUUGGUUAGGUAAGAUUUCCUGAUCUGAAAAGUGUUUUGGAAAUGCUAACUUAGUGCAAAAUUAGAUAAAAGAAAGUUUCUAAUUAACAUCAUAAUUUAACAAGGAACCCACUAAAUCAUAUCAGGUGCUUCAAAUAUAUUUGUUUUUGUUCAUAACAUCUAAUGUUUUUAGUUUGAUCACACUCUUUAUGAAAUCACCAACAUUUAAAAGAAAAAAGUGGUAAAUAAAUUAUCUUUAAUGAAAUAGUAUCAAUUUAAUAUAAUUUUUUAAAUAUAUAAGAGAUCACUUAUUUAAAUAAAGAUAAAUUUAAAAAAAAUAAUUAACAACUUCUCCAGUACUCAUUUUAAAAACAUCGUUACUCUCCCUUCUUAUUUUUCAGCAUUUAUUUUGUUUUGUUUUGUUUUAUAUCACUGAGAGGAGUUUUUAUUUUUGAAAAAAGAAUAUGAAUGGUCUUAAAUUUAAAGUACUUACCGAUCAAUUUUAUUUACUAUUCCCUCUAUUUCAAUUUAUGUGAUACAUUAUUUUUAAGGGUCAAACAGUUUAAGUUUAACUGAAAAAUUUGCACAUGAAAUCUUCAUGAUAUGAAAUCAUAAUAUGGUAUCAUGAUAUGGAAUCAUGAGAUGAAAUUAAAGUUUUAUUUGGACAUGCGAUAUGAAAUUUUUUGUGUUGUAUAUUUUCUCAUAAACAUAAAAAUCUCAUAAGUUGUGAAACUAUUAAAAUAGCCCCAAUUGUUUAUUCAAUCUUAUCAAAUAAUUUUUUUUUAUAUAAAAUCGCAUAAUAAAUUAUUACAAAGCUAUUUGUUCUCCACUUAAGUAAUUGUUUCAUCUAACUUUAAUUUAAUAAAAAAAAUGUUAUUCCAAAAUCGAGUAUUAUGUCGAAUUUUGGAAUGUACACCAAUCAUAUUUUUUGGUUGUAUAAAUGUUGGUGCCAUCUUGCUAAUUGCCUCGACAACUAUUUUAACAUGCCGGUUAAUUGUUUCAAUGUUGAAAAGUUUCACUUGCCGAGCCGAGCGUUGACUAUCAUUUCGUGCAAUGAUGGUUAGAAAAAUACCCAAAGCCUAUCCAACCUAACUUUCAUAUCAAUUUAUUAGAGUAAGUGAAGAGAAAUAGAUAUAACUAUAGUUGUAAUAAAUACAANNNNNNNNNNNNNNNNNNNNNNNNNNNNNNNNNNNNNNNNNNNNNNNNNNNNNNNNNNNNNNNNNNNNNNNNNNACCUUUCACUCCAUGUUCAAAUAGAUAUAACUAUAGUUGUAAUAAGUACAAAAUGGUAGAAGUAAUAAAUUAAGUGUUGGAGUAAAUGAACAAAACAAAUUUAUUACUCAACAAUUGGUUGGUGUGAGUUAAAGUGACUAUAUGUUGGUGAAAAUUAUAAAUUUUGUGUCGGUGAGAAUAAUAAAUUUUAAAAAUUAAUGAUGUGAUUAUAAAUUUUAUUUACAUAUGAAAUAAAUGGUUAGUAGAUAUAAAUGUGGGGUUGUUUCAACAAAAUAUAAACUCGUGGAUCAAUUUUUGUAUUAAAAUAUCUCAAAUCAUGAUAUGGAAUUCCCAUAUAAUUUCAUAUCAUGGUUUUUGGAGAAUAUGGAAUCACAUCUUAUGAUAUGGAAUCAUGAGAUAGAAUCAGCGUAAAAUCGCAUGUCCAAAUGCUGAUUCCAUCUCACGAUACUAUAUCAUGAUAUGGUAUCGCAUGGCCAAACGCCUACUAAGUAAAAAGUAAUAUAAGUUAUAAUAAUUGACAAUCCAAAAUUAUCUUUUUAUUUAUGAUUUCUCAAGCACCGUAUAAUCAACUAAUAUAGAACAAAGAGGGUAAAUCGUUUGGUAACACGAAUUCUAAUAUAUAGAAUUCAAUUAUUAAUGGAAAUUUGGGCAUGUAAAAUGAUGCUAGAUAAGAGUCUCUAUCACCUUUAUAUGUCACCCUUUUUUUUUUUAAUACAAUAAAGGAAAAUGGUUGAUAGUGCCCUAAUUCGAUUGGGCAUGCAGUGAUUUAUAUUGUUCCCCAUUAUAGAUAAUAAGUUGCAUGGAUAUAAUAUAAUAAUAAUAAUAAUUACAAAAUGGUCAAGAUACUGAUAAUUACACGAUAUAUGUUCACCUCAUUAGUGGAAUACCGGACAAAUCCAAUUACCCAAAUAAUUUGAAGUGUAUGUUGUUUACACCCCAGUUUUGACCCUCCACAAUAUAAAUUAAUUAUCGAGCUUUUUCAAUUUUCAAAUGAUUUAAAAUUAUUAAUUUUAUAAAAAUUUCAAGAAAAUAAAAUAAAUAUAGUUUGCAAGUUAUCUUAAAUAGUUUCGUCACUUUUUUUUAAAUAAUCAUUUUAAAUAAUUUUAAUAAUUUUAAAUAAUAAAUAUGUAUAUUUUUACAAUCACGUUAUUUUAUAAAUGUUUGAAAAUCAUCACAAAAGAUUUUACAUUUAGUUAAAUAUUUUAUUAAUUUACUUUAAGUUAUAGUUAUAAUUUUGAGUUAUUAGUUUAUAAUUAAAUUAAUUAUUUUAUCUCGUUAAAAUUAAGAAGCUUGUUAAUUAAUUAACAUUAAUUUGUCUUAUUUAAAUUUUAGUCAAACUAUCUAAAUUAAACUCAAUUUGGCUAUUUCUUAAACUUCAAGAUCUAACCCAUCUUUGACCUCCAACUUAACUCAAUUUUGAGACUAGAUUUGGGUAAUUUUUCAGCCCAACACUCUCCAACCCAGCAGCCCAAACCAACAUAUUCUCAUCCUAAUUCCAAUUUGGGAAAAUUGUACAUAAUGACAAACUAUUAAUUCAAAUUAAAUGGUAUAAUCACACUUUGAUUUAAUUGUGUCCUGUAGCAAACUGUUUGUCAGCGCCUCUCUCCCUCAAACUCUCGCUCACUCUCUCUGUGCUCGCCUCUCUCGCUUUAUACACAGAAGUGUAUAAAUUGUGUUUCUGUUUGUAUAAAGCGAGAGAAAAUUGUAUAUGCACAUGCAAAUACAUAUAUAUUCGUCCUAUACACUUAUAAUUAUACAAUAAAAAUAUUCCCCUGCCCAGUUCUCUUUUGUCUUUCUCUCUUUCUCGUUUUAUACAACAGAAUUGUAUAAAUUGCGUUUCUGUUUGUAUAAAGCGAGAGAAAAUUGUAUAUGCACAUGCAAAUACAUAUAUAUUCGUCCUAUACACUUAUAAUGUAUAAUUUAUGUUUGUCAACGAUUUAUACAAACGAGAGGCUAACAACAAUUUAUACAAAUGGCCUGCCAGCAAAAUUAUACAAUUCUGAAGAGGAGCCAACGAAUUAUACAAUUGCUUCUUUUUGUAUAUAUGUAUAGCGAAUUAUGCAUAUAUAUGUUUGCUAUGGAGCGCAAUUAUGCAAACUUUGCUAUAGCAUACAAAUAUGAUUUUUUUGUUUGGUAUAUGUGAAAGUUUCUCAUCCAAUUUUUAGAUUACCCGAUCCAAACCCUUUCCAAUACAACAACAAUCAACAGUUGUGUAUAAUACCAGUAUGCGACCCCUGCGUUUUCUUCUUCCUUCACGAAAACAGACGACCCCAUCUCGUCCAAACCCAGACGCAAGCAAAACCCAGAAAAUCCGCGAAGAAACCCAGCAGAAAUUGCGGAGAAUCCAGAAACGCGACCCUACUGCCCCCAAUAUCGUCUUCUUCACGUGAAAAUCCCAACAAACCCGGAAAAUCCCACCAAAUCGCAGAAAUCCAGCAACCUUAUCCAAAAUAGAACUUGGAUUUCGAAUUCAAAUUCUUCCUUUCCAUUCAAUUUCCCCCCAAAAUGAUUUUAUUUUCCCCUAUAUAAACUCUCGACCAGUCAGUGUUUGAGGGAGGAAUAUUUGAAGUCGUAAUUUUAGAUUGAUGAAUAUAGUAUCGAUAUAAUACCAAAAAUCACAAAGUUAGGUCUAGAUUUCUUGGAAUUUCUCUUCAUCUCGUCGAAAGCUCUUACUAGAGUUCAUUAGAAUUCUCAAAGUUUAUCUCUUCUCUGGUGUGGAAGUUGCUUCAUAGUCAAGCUCGUUGUCCCAGUUCCUGCUCCGAUAAAGGUGACAUCUCUUCUCCUCUUACUUCAGUAUCGCUAAUCGUCUAUAUAGUGAAGUAGUUAUUUAUGUGUGUUGUUUCUUUCCGUUUGAACUCGAUUAAUCGGUAAUGUAUGAAAUGCUUAAUAUGAUUCAAAAUGUGAUUGCUCUCCUUUAAUGUGUGCUCGUUUACAGUUCUACGUGUAUUCUUGUCAUCUGAUGUAACUUAGCUAUAUAGUUAAUUUUCUUUUUCCUUUUAAGAGGGUGUUGUGUUUCAAUAUUUUCGUUUUCUUUUCGUAUAAAUCGAUUGUUGAUAUGCUUAAGUUUUGGUUUCAUGAUUUUCUGCCUAUUAUGGCUAAAAAAAAGUAUGAUUUCUUGUCGUUAUAUGUCGGUGUUGGGUUGGAUCUUCUCUUUGAAUCGACUAUUUGAGAGCAUGUUUGGUUUAGAUUUUCUGUAGUAGUUCCAUUUUUGACAAUAUCUAUUUAGUUUUCAUGAUAAUCUGUUGCCAUGAAUUGUGAAUUGAGGAUAGGAAGUAGACUUGUUUCUUAUUGUGCUAGCUUUCAAUGGCUUGUUUAGCAAUUUUAAAAUAAUAUAGUGCCUUGAUUGUGUAAUCACAUAAAUUUUUCUUUCCUUUCUUACUCUACCUUUCCAGUAAGCAUGAAAAGUGAAUAUUGAAGGUAAGAAUGUGACCCUCCUUGUUUGUGUAUUUUUUUAGUUUCAUUCACAUGAUUUGAAGUAAGCAUGUUGUGAUAAACUAAAUAUUUUCUUUGGAUGUUGUGUGAGCUAAAAUCAUUUACGCAAGGUAAUUGUUGAAUCGUGAUUAGAAGUAUACCUUUCAUUUCCUCCAGUUGCUUGCCUAUUUGAAACAAGUGCUUUAUUAAGAGUUAGACUUGAAUUGAACAUUAAUUUCUCCAUGUGAAUAAUGUAUGCCUUUAUCUUUGUCAAGUUGAAUUAUGUUGUUGAAGUUUUCUUUAUUUUAUUUCAAAUCCGCUUGAUCAUCAGAUCUCUUAUCCAUCUUUUUUUUUUUUUUUUGCAUUGUGAAUUCCCGAUGAGUCCAUGAUGGACUCUCUCCUCUUUGCAUAUCCUCGGGUUUAAGUUCGAGUCUGCCUCGUUGAUCCAAUAGAGUUGAAAGGGAAGCAGAUAUGCAGGUUUCAAAAGCAAAAAUGCAAGGAAAGGGUUGAUAUAUAUGCUGAUAUACACUGAUAUACGCCGAGUGUAUACAGUCAAUAUACACCGUAAAAAGGGGUUAAACUCAUGAAUUUCAGCAUUGGGCCAAAGCCCAAAAUGAUUCAACAGUAUCAGCAGCCUGAAAAGGCUAACAUGGGCAGUCCAUUACCUCUUUAUUUAUUUGAUACAAAUUACUUAACUACACUCCUUUACUUACCUUAAUAUCCAUUUAUCCCUACUUAUUUCAAAAAUUUCAAAAAUCCCUUAUUUUACCUAUGUAUCCCGUGCACAACGCUAUGUAUCCCGCCUAUGUGGGAUGUAUCAAACCUAAUGUAUCCCGUGCACAACGCUAUGUAUCCCGCUAUGUGGAAUGUAUCAAACGCUAUGUAUCUUGUGCACAAUGUUAUGUAUCCCGCAAACAUCAUUUUUAAGGGAUUUUUGGUAAAUAGAAAACUAGAAGGGAUAGGAUGUUAAUGUAUCCCGUGCACAACUCUAUGUAUCCCGCUAUGUGGAAUGUAUCAAACCUAAUGUAUCCCGUGCACACCGCUAUGUAUCCACCAAACAUCAUUUUUAAGGGAUUUUUGGUAAAUAGAAAACUAGAAGGGAUAGGAUGUUAUUUAGUACUUAUAAUAUGUUGUUCCUAUAAUUGUAUGCAUUUAUUUAUGGGUUUAUUUGAUUUGUUUAAUUCUAACCCUUUCAUUUAAUUUGGCUUAAUUUAAUUAAAUUCCCCAAAAGACGAACUAUAUUCUUUAUGUUAUGUUAAUUUAUUUUCAUAAAAAAAUCAUUUUUAAUCAACUCUUAUAUUUUUAUUUGAAAAUCUUUAGUCAUUUUUUUUUUACUUAUCUUCAAUUAAUUUAAAAUAGUUUUCAUACUUUAAUUAAUCAAAUUGGUCUAAAUUAUUAUUUUAAAAUGAAUCAAAUAAUUUCUAAUUAAUUAGGUUUUUAACAAGAUCCUAAUCACUUGCAAUUUAAUUCAAAUAUUUCAAUUAGUAUCCUCUUUUCUUAAAAAAAUAAAAAUUAUUCUUUGUUUAACUAUUUUCUCAAAUUAAUCAUUUUUCUAAAAAAAAAUAGUCAAAAUAUAUUUAAUCUAAGUAGUAGGAUAACCGCAUGUUAGUGGACGCUUCAAAUGCCUUAAAAAUCUUCUUGAAGCGUAAAUAAGAACAUCUUACCCAUUUUCUCUAAAUUUAUAAAGAUUUAAUUUGUUAAAAUCUUUUUAAAUUAAUUUUUUCUUAAUUUCUUUAAAAAAUUAAGUGGCGACUCUUUUCUAAGUAUUUUUCUCAAUUUGUUUUAUACGUGGAACAUUUCAAAAAGUGAUUUUGCUAGAGAUAGUAAAAUUACGGCGUAACAUAUGUCAUGAAAUCGUUAAAGAUGAUAUUAUCAAUUUGAUGAUUUAUUAUUUAAGUAGUUAAGUCAAAUUUUAGAAUAUAAUUUAAUGAAUUCAUUUACUUAUUUGUCAAAAAUCUAGGAUUCUCUAAUUUUUAUUCUAAGAUUUAAUUGAUUAGAUCAAAAUUUUAAUUAUAAUUUAAAUAAUUAAUAUUUUAUAAAUAAAUUGCUAAUGCCACAAUUAUAGCAAUAUAUUAUGUUAUUCAUAAAUAUAUUUUAACUUUUCUCUCUCAUAUUAUAUUUUCCCUAAGCAGUAUUUAUCUUCUGUAUUUAAAAAAAUAAAUAAAUUAAGUAAUUGAUAACUUAGAUUUUUGUUAAUAAUUCUGAAUUCUCAGCAAAUUUUAAAGGGAAAGAUCAUCAGAAAAUUUCAAUCAAAUUAACUUAAUUCAAAAAAAGAAGAAGACAAAUACUCAUAGGGAAAAAAUAAAAGUGUAUUAGGUAUGUAUGGACAAGAUAAUAUAUUAUUAUGAUUAUAACAUUAUUAAUUUAUGAGAAAAGACAUAAAGUCACCACUAAAGUUGUCUCGUAUUUGCAUAAAGAUGCCUUAACUUUGGAAGUGUCCUAUCACCCCACAUAACUUUUUAAUAUCUUUGUAAAUGGGCCAUUUUGACCCAUUCCCUCGUCUGUGUUGUCACGCGUGAUGCUCACUCCUGUGAUACUUAUUCAACCCGACCCGACCUUAUUCUUUUCAAGAAAAAUCUUCUCUUUUCUUUUGUUAUUUUUCAACUUUCCCUAAAUUCACAAAAUAUAGAAAAGUCUUCUCAUUUUCUCUUGGUGUUGAUAAUCUCGUGUUGAUGUUUCUUGGUGAAGAUUCUUGGAGGGACAAGGAAUUGAAGGUCUAACAUGUUAGGGCUCUACAUUAUAUGAUAAAGAUCUUCUUUUUUUUUUUUAUUAUGAUUUUAGGGAUUAUUAUAGUGUAAAGAGUGUUGGAAUCGACGGAAAUUAAAAGAUAAAACGAAUUCCUACCUUAUUGUGCUUUGAGAAGAUGCUGAAUUCAUCAAAGAGAGAGUACCAACGUUGAUCUUGCUUUGCAAAAAAGAUGAAAUUGUGAAUUUAGGGAUACCAAUGGCUCUUUUGAGUUUAAAUUUGGGGAAGAUGAUGUAAAUUAAUUAAACAAUUAUUAAUAAAGAAAUAAAGCGACAUGUGGCUCUUUUAAACUGAUUAAUGGUGGUAAAAACACUGCAUCACGCGCUUCAUGUGCGUGGUAACAACCCAGACAGGGAAAUGGGUCAAAAUGGCCCAUUUACAAAGAUAUUAAAAUGUUUUGUGGGGUGAUAGGACACUUUCAAAGUUAAGGUGUCUUUAUGCAAAUACGGGACAACUUUAGUGGUGACUUUAUGUCUUUUCUCUAAAUUUAUUUAUGAAGUAUUAAUUAUCUAAAUUAUAUUAGAGUCUUGAUUUAAUCAAUUAAAUUUUAGCUAUUAACUUUUUUAUUUGUUAUGUAUUUUUAAUUCAAGUAAAUACUUGGGGAAUAUGGAGAGAAGAGAAACGGAGAGGAGCUGGAUACACACCUAAUGAUAGUGUCCAAUAAUCGUUAUAAAAAUUAUGGCCAAACACAUACAUAACCCCUUUAACUUAACACUAAAUUUCAUUUAGACACUCCAACUCAAUCUUAUUUUAACCUUCAAUUUUAUUUCCAAUGUACCAUUUAACACACAAAAUGUUGACUGAAUAUAUAAGAGAACUUAUUCAUCUAAAAUGCGUGAGAAGAGAUCCUUUUUAACGUUUAUAGUCGACAUUUUUAUCGUUAAGAACUUUCUUCCCUAUUUAUUUACUCUAUCUUCUCUUCAACUCUAUUUUCUCCUUCAUCUACUCAUCUAGGGAAAAAUGCAUAAGUACCCCCCAGCCUAUGCCCAAAAUCCCUGAGACACACCUAACCUUUACUAAGGUCCUAUCACCCUCCCGAACUUAUUUUUAAUUAAUUUUCUACCCCUUUUCGGCCUACGUGGCACUAUCUUGUGGGCCCAGCGCGUGUUGACAAUUUUUUCAAGGAUAGUGCCACGUAGGCAAGAAAGGGGUAGAAAAUUAAUUAAAAAUAAGUUCGGGAGGGUAAUAGGACCUUAGUAAAGGUUAGGUGUGUCUCAGGGAUUUUGGGCAUAGGCUGGGGGGUACUUAUGCAUUUUCCCACUUAUCUAUUUAUUUUCUUCAACUACCUCAUUUUCUAUUCAACUCUCUUUUAUGCUAAAGGUAAUUUUUUUAUUUUGGGAAAAUGCAUAAGUACCCCCCAGCCUAUGCCCCAAAUCCCUGAGACACACCUAACCUUUACUAAGGUCCUAUUACCCCCCAGACUUAUUUUUUAAUUAAUUUUCUAGCCCUUUUCGGCCUAUGUGGAACUAUCUUUGAAAAAAUUGUCAACACGCGCAGGGCCCACAAGAUAGUGCCACGUAGGCAAAAAAGGGGUAGAAAAUUAUAUAUAAAAUAAGUUUUGGGGGGGGGGGGAGGAGUAAUAGGACCUUAGUAAAUGUUAGGUGUGUCUCAGGGAUUUUGGACAUAUGUUGGGGGGUACUUGUGCAUUUUCUCUUAUAAUUCAUCUUGUAUCAAUUACAUUUUAUGUUAUAAAAGACUACAUAAAAUGUUAAAAUAAUAAGUAAAUAGCUAGAUUGAGGAAACGAUAUCAAAUCAAAAUUUAGAAUUAUAACUAUCCAAAUGAUGUCAAAUUUGUUAAUGCCGUAUAAAUUUAUAAAAAAUGGAUAUAUUCAUAAUAACAUAUACUCGAUGUUUAUAACUUAUGUCACAAAUUGAUCUCAACGAUAAAUUUGGUGAUAAAUUAAAUAUAGACAAUGAUCAAGAAAUCACUGCCUGGAAACUAGUCCGCGACGCGGAGAUGCACUUAAAUAUUUGAUCACGAAAUUUAUUUUUGAAACAGUGGAGUCCGCGACCUCUCCGCGAUGCGGAGAGAAAAUUUUCACACUAAAGGAACAGGUCCACGCGGACCUGGUACCUGUUCCUUGUCCGACUUUUUCUUCCUCGUUUUCUAACCCCAAUUCACCUAAUUCCAAUUUUUUUUCUCAAUCCCUCUUUAGAUUCAAAUACCCAGUAUAUGUACACAAGAUUCUAACUCAAACAACUCAAGGAAACAACAUUAUAACCUCAAGGAACUCCUUAAUCUCAACUUAACUCAAGAACAAAGCCAAUUUCAAGAACACCAUUCAAGAUUCAUCAACUUUCAACUUUCUAGAAUGAAUUUCGCUGAUAUAACAUGAUUGGCGCGUGGGUGAACGAACCCAAUGCUAUGAAAGACUCACAUGCCUCUUUAGGGAUCAACCCUUGCCGAAAUCCACAAGCUAAACCUUCAAAGAAUGAUGAACUUUGCUCUUUCUCCUCUUUUCUCCUCUUGCGUUCUUUCUCCAAAAAAAACCUAGCGUAAAUUUUCAAUUGUCUAAACUGAACCAAUUCAGUUUAGACCCCAAUUUAAUUGCUAAAAACGAAUUAACUUAAUUGGGUGGUGAAAAGACCAUAAUGCCCUUCUAAAAUCCGGAUUGGACUUUUCUAAUUUGAACAGCCCAACUUUCAAUGGGCAUAACUCACUCAUACGAACUCGGAAUCACGCAAACUCGGCGGCGUUGCAAAGAUUAUUCCAGGAUCUUUCCCACGAUAUAUGGAAACGCACCUAACUCAUCCUUAUCUAGGAGUUAUGGUCGUUUGAAGUUGGUCAAAAACUCAAACUUAACGUAACCAAUUUUCCAGAUUUUUAUUAUUUCCAAAAAUCACUCUUUCUAAUUCUAGCUCUUUCUAGUUCUUUCAAUUUGCGAGAUGUUACACUUUCUUUUUCAGUAGCAUUAUAAUUUAGUUGCUGCCCAGAUUUUCAAGUUUCGACAUUGCAAUCGAAUUUCGAUCAAGAACCUAACCUGCAUUCGAACCAACUUGAUCUUCACAUGAAAUUAUACAUGUAUCGCCUUUUUGACAUCCUUGGACCUUAUCUGAAGUUUUCAGAGCAUCAGCCAAACUUUUUCCAGAGAUGUUUAACAACUGAACCUCUGGUCCAGGCACCAAAAGGCCCUCCUGAACCUUUGUUUCAGGCACCAAAAGUUCCUCCUCCAGUGACCUUUGACCAACUAAUACUAGCCUUGUAUCGCUAUUGUUUUUAGUAGUUAGGUGCUGCAUAUAAUUGAUAUUCGGUGUUUCGUUCACAUUACUUGCAUUAUCCGUAUCAUUAGAGACUUUAUUUUCAGUUUUUUUUGCAUUCAAGAAGUCUCGUGCAUCACCCUGCAAUUGUUCCAGAUUGUUUGUUUUGUCACCUUGCUGCCUGAUGUCAUCUUGAUUACCUUCUCCCCUUUUGUUUUUCUGGAUCAUUAGUCGGCAAUCAUCAUCUUCAUGACCUUGGUGCUUACAAUAGGUACAAUACAAAGGAAGAUUAUCAAACACAACCUGUUGAUAGUGUUCAACGAGCUUACUAGAUUGUUCAUCCAAAAAAUGCAUCCUUACUCGUUUCGGAUGUUUGUCCAUAAGAUCAAGAAUGACCUUAACUCUAGCUGUGCUAGGUCUUGAGUGGAUUUAUCUAUGGCUACUGGCUGACCAAUAGCCGAUGCAAUGGAUAACAAAGGUCUUCGAGCAAAAAGAUUUGGCGGCAGAUCCGGUAGCGAAACCCACGCCAAAGCUUUUGAAGUUUCUUCCUUAGGGUUAAAAUUUUGUGUCCAUGGAAAGUUACAGAACAAAUGUUGUUCCCCAUUUUAUUGAAGAUAACCAAACUAUUUGAAAGAACAGAGCAAAAAUCUUCAUAAAAUCACAACGAAUUAAAAGAUGUCGUACUGCAAGCGAGCCGAUUAAACAACGUCCUUUGAUGACCAACUGUUUUGGAAGUAAUUUUCUCAGUUCGUGUAAGCUUGGUGCACCAUAGGAAAGCUUCAUAAUCACGGCUUGAUGAAGUCCCUCUUCAACGGCAUACUCAUCUAAUUCCUUAAAAGUAAAUUGGACCGUUGGUUCCCUGUGUAUUAAUUGAAUAGGUUUCAAGAUUGUUUUGGUCAGUGCCGUAGGAUUAUAAUUCAUUAGAGAUGCAUAGGUAUUGUUAAGGUUUGACUCUCCCGCAGUUUGAGACUGGGGAGAGGCAGCGACAGCCAUGAGAGGCUUCUAAGUCGCCAUACCGUGAAAAGUAUAAAUGAGAUCGAAGAGUAUAUAAAUGAGAAAUAUGAAAGUCUUAAACCAAAUUUUGAAAAAAUAUAUGAAAGUAUAAAUUUGGUUAACUUAAUUUGAAAAAUAUACCUAUUUUUUUUUAAAUCAAUAGAAUUCGGUUUGUUUUUAUCAAAAAAAAAAAACUUGAAGAGUAUAAAUGAGAAAUAUGAAAGACUUAAACCAAUAAGCACCAAUGAUCUAGUGGUAGAAUAAUAUCUUAUUACCACAUUAAAGACGGAGAUUCACAUUUUAAUAGUUAAAUAAUUUAAAACUGAUCGAGUUUGAUUGGUUUUUCAUUUUUUUUAAUCGUGUGUUGAAAAAAUGAUUAAUUUUAUAUAUUUAAAAGACCAAUUGAUUCAGAUGAAUUUUUGGACCGAUGAGCACUUUCCCAAAACCAAUUUUUGUCGAUUUUCUCCUAAAAUAAUCAACUACUAAUUUUGAACGUGAGAUCUCGGGAUCCUCAACCCAUUUCAUUAACCAAACCCACCCUUGGCUGCAUUGACAUAAUUGAUCGAUUCAAUUUAAUACUUCUAUGCUCUGUACACAUAAUUGAUCGAUUCAAUUUAAUACAUUCAAUUAUUCUCACUACACAUACUUAAACAAACCGAAAAAAAGAGGAAGAACUACAGAGGAUGCAUUGACUUUUCUAUAUAUUUCACAACAAAACAUCAAAAUUCUUCAUUGUUUCUAUAAUCUAUAGCAAUUAAAUAUAGAUUUUCCUUUUUCUCCGUGGUUAAUCCAUGCGUUUCAGUCAUAUCCAAAUCUUUCGGAUUAGUUCCAUUAGGAAGUUCCCAUUCAAAGUGGUAGAGUAACUGAGCUAAAGGAUGUAUAACAUUAGCAAAACCAAGUAACAACCCUGGACACACCCUUCGUCCUGAACCAAAUGGAAUAAACUGAAAAUGAUUUCCCAUAAAGUCAAUAGAAGAGUUCUCAAAUCUUUCUGGUAUAAAGUUUUCAGGAUCAUCCCAACUUUCAGGAUCUCUUGCGAGUGCCCAUGCAUUGACUAGUACUCGAGCCUUUAGAGGUAUGGUGUAUCCAUCUAUAACUGUUUGCUCCCUACAUUCCCCUAGACCCUAGAAGAGGAGCUGGCGUAUGUAGCCUUAAUGUUUCCUUAAUCACCGACUUUAGGUAUGUCAAGUUUUCAACUUCUUCUUCACUAAAAUUUUGUUUUCCCUUAAAAACUCGUCUCACUUCACUUUGAGCCUUGAUCAUAACAUUCGGGUUCUUUAUCAUUUCUGAUAACGCCCAAAUAAUAGUUGAAGAUGAAGAUCCAGUUCCUCCUAGGAAUAUGUCCUACAUCAACAACAAAUAAAAUAAAUCCUAUAAAAGGGAAAGGAAAAGCGAACAAAGAUAAAGAAGGAGAACAAACUUACAAAAAUCACAGCUUUAAUAUGGUCAUUUGUGAUUGGAUAUUGAAGUUCCACGUUCUCUUUCACCCUAAGUAAAACAUCAACCAAAUCUUCGUCACCAAACUCACCAUUUCCCUUCUUCCCAGCUGCUUUAUUUUCGAUAUGUUCAUUCAGGAUCUCCUUCAUAACUGCAUCAACCUUCUUAUGCGCGUUCACCAUUCUAGUUUUCUCACCUCUUAGGUUGUGAAGUAAAUUCCAAGAAGGGUACAAAUCAGCCAUAAAAAAUCCUGCUGCUAAUAACAGUACUUCCUUCAAAGUUGUUAAGAACUCGCCUCGAUCUUUGCAUACUUUUCCAAAGGCUGAUCUACAAAUGAUACAAUUAGUAAACAGAAAAAUCUUUUUUGUCAUGUUUACUGGAGAACCCCUCAUGGAACGAAUUGAUGAAAUGAGACUCAUAAGCUCAUCCUCUCGAAUUGCACUAAAUAACUUGAUCAUCUUUAUACUAAAAAGUUCUGAAGUACAGAUUUAAUGCAUUUGUCUCCAGUAGUCACCGUAUGGACUAAAUGCAAUGUCUAUACUAUUGUAAAAUAUGAUGUUUGUGGAUGUAAGUUGUGGUCUACAAGCAAAGGCGUGAUCAUGAGUUCUUAGAAUUUCUUUGGCGAUAGUAGUUGAUGAUAUGACCACGGUAGGAACUUCCCCGAGUUGCAAGUACAUAAGAGGCCCAUACCUUUGAGAUAAUUUUCUAAAAAUAUGAUGUGGCAACCCUCCUCCGAUUAAGUGAUGAAGAUUUCCAAUGAGGGGAAGUCUCCAUGGACCUGGAGGCAACCUAAAUUGUUUUUCGUUUCGAUUUUUUGGUUUGCUCCAUUUUUUAACUAUAAGUAUGAGGGAGGACAAAAAGAGAAGCAAUAAAACUAAAUUGGAAAGAAAGGAGUUAAACAUCUCCAUUGAAAAGUAAGGAAAGAGAAAGAAGCUUAUAAUAUUACAUUUGAUCUUCUAUAGCUGCUUUUAUAAUGACUCAAUAAUUAUUCAAAUGACCUUAUAAAUAAAUGACAAAAAAUUGGCCAAAAUAGUCCUUGAGGUAUAUAAAACGAUAAGUAAUUAUUAUAAGGAAAAUGUUUCAUUUCAAAAGAAUUAUUAACUUUUGAUCAUUUACUAACGCAAGACGGCAAGAGUUUCCCCUCUGCUGACAACUCAUUUUCCAAGUGUCAUAUUUAAUUCAUGAGUUUGUCUAUGUUAUUUUAUUUCUCCACUAAUAACUUGGCUAUUCAUGUAUUUUCUAAUUAAAUAAGAAAGGCUUGUUUAAUUUUGGGGAAACAUUUCACACCGUUAAAAUAAUUUUUUAGGACAAUGCUCAACACAGUUUAAGUAUUAAUAUUCUAUACUAUUAUUUAUAUAUUAUGAUAGUAAUAUUUAUCUAAAUUUGAGUAUUAUUAUUUUGCUAAAUAUUAAGUUAUAUUAUUAUUAAUGAUUUUUUCAUUAUUUCCCAAUAAUUAUUUUGGCCCUAAGUCCUAAAACUAAUUAUUAAAGUAAAAAAAAUGUUUUGUUAAAUUUAAUUGCGGAUCUCUUAAAAUUGACACAUCAUUUUCCCCUAAAUCUUCUUUCUUUCAUCAUUAGUAGAGGUCAAGCUCCAUCCUCAAUCACAUGACCAAUGAAGAUUGUGGUGGAGUGGUAAGUAGUACUCCUUCAUCCUUAAUCAAAGGUCUCAAGUUCGAGUCCUUUUAGAUACGGAGUCAUCUUUGUUAGAGAGCGCGCUUUACCUCUAAUGUAAAACUUCCUAACGCGAAAUCAAAUUUAAUUUAAACUAAGCAAAUCAAAUCAAAUCAAAUGGCAAAACUGAACGGACAAAGGUGGACAGUAGAAUCUAAAAAAAAUCUUUCGAAAUUUGAAGAGAUUUUUGUGUCAAAAGAAGGUUUGGGUAAUGGAAAUAAUUAGAAUAAAGUACCAACAAUUGGAAAUUGAUUGGUUGAGGGAGAAGGGGGAUCACUCAGAUAAGGAUCUAUCCAGAUAAGGACAUUGAUGAAGACCACAGAAGACGUUUGGGCGUGUUUGGUAUCUAGGAGAAAAUGUUUUUCAAUUAUCCUAUAUAUAUUUUUAAUUGGUAAAAAUGUUAAAAAAAUUAAUUAUAAAAUAUUUAUCAAAUAUUAGAAAUUAAUAAAUAAUUAAGAUAUCAUUUUUUGUGAAAAAAUAUUUUCCUCCGUAUCAAACACACGGGAGACUCAAUGAUUAGUGGAUUUGAUAUUGUUCUUCAUGAUGACUCUGAACCCAUAGAUUAUAAUAAUUGUAUGUAUAUAUAUAAUACAAACAAAUCAACAUUCGUCAAAAUACUGAUAAAUUACAUGAAAAAAUAUCUCCAUAUAUAUCAUUAGUGGAAUAGCUGACAAAUCCACUCAUAAAUAAUUUGAAGUGUAUCUCAUGAAAUUGUUAAAGACAACAACGUUUAUUAGUUAGAAAGUUUAUCAUUUAAGUAGCUAAUUCAAAUUAUAGAAUGUAAUGAAUUUACUUAUUUGUCGAAUUCUGGGCAUGUGAAAUGACGCCAAAUAGUCUUAUCACCUUUUACAUUACACCUAAUAAUGCAAUUAAAAAAAUCUAUUGUGCAGUUGUUGCUCACUACUGAUAGCUACAUAUGGGAUAUUAAAUAGCAAAUACACUAUUCUUGAACAUGACAUGUACAAUCAUACAAUAGAUAAUUAAUUGUGUAGUUGUUGUAAACUAGUGAGUAGUAUGAUACUGUCUGUUUGAGGUGAGAUAUGCGGGUAUUAAAUAACAAAUGUAUACACUAUUCUUGAAUAUGACAUGUACAAUCAUACAAUAGAUAAUUAAUUGUGUAGUUGUUGUAAACUAGUGAGUAGUAUGAUACUGUCUGUUUGAGGUGAGAUAUGCGGGUAUUAAAUACUACAUAAGUAAAUAUCAUGUUUGGUAGUUAAUUAGUCCGAUGGAUUGAAGCAAUCGUAAAACCAACAAAUGCAUACACCUUAACAUUCAAAUGGAUACACAUACAUAAUUAAACCAAAGCAAAAAAAAAAUUAAAUCAGAAUUUUUCUUCAUCGUUUUUAUGAUCUACAACAAUUAAAUACAGGUCUUUUGCCCUUGCCGCACUUAAUCCAUGUGUUUCCGUCAUAUCCAAAUCAUUUGGUUUAGUUCCAUUUGGCAGUUUCCAGUCAAAGUGGUAGAGUAACUGAGCUAGAGGAAGUUCGACAUUAGCUAAACCAAAUACCAUUCCGGGACAAAUCCUUCUUCCUGCGCCAAAUGGAAUAAACUCAAAGUGAUUUCCUAUAAAAUCGACAGAAGAAUUUUCAAAUCUCUCUGGUAUAAAAUUAUCGUGAUCAUCCCAACUUUCGGGAUCUCUCCCUAUCGUCCAUCCAUUGACUAUUACUCUAGUGUUAAUAGGUAUGGUAUAUCCAUCAAUAACUGUUUGUUCCCUAGGUGCUAGAAGAGGAACUGGAGCAUGAAGCCUUAAUGUCUCCUUUAUCACUAGAUUUAAAUAUGUCAACUUUUCGAUAUCUUUUUCAUCAUAACUUUUUUUCCCCUUAAAAACUCGUCUCACUUCACUUUGGGCCUUCGCCAUGAUAUGUGGGUUCUUCAUUAGCUCUGUAAACACCCAAACACAAGAACUGUAAAUGAAGUUUCAGUUCCAGCCAGAAAGAUGUCCUGCAUCAACAAACAAAUCAAACUUAGGAAAUUGAUCAAUUGAAGUUCCGUGUUCUCUUUAGGAAAGGGAGAAAACUUACAAAAAUCACAGCUUUAGAUUGGAAAUUGAAGGUCCGCGUUCUCUUUUACCCUUAGGAAAACAUCAACCAAAUCUUCGUCUCCAAACUCACCAUUUCCCUUCUUUCCAGCUGCUUUAUUUUCGAUAUGCUCAUUCAGGAUCUCCUCCAAAAUUACAUCAAUUUUUUUAUGCGCGUUCACCAUUCUAGUUUUCUCACUUCUUAUGUUGUGAAGUAACUUCCAUGAAGGGAACAGAUCAGCCAAGAAAAAUCCUGCUCCUAAUAUGAGUACUUCCUUCAUAAUUGUUAUGAACUUGUCUUGAUCUUUGCAUAUUUUUCCAAAGGCGGUUCUACAAGUUAUACAGUUGCUAAGCAGAAAAAUCUUUUCAGUCAUGUUGAUUGUAGCUCCACUCAUGGAACGAAGUGAUGACAUGAGACUCGAAAGUUCUUCUUGUCGAAUGGCACCAAACGACUUGAACUAAGAAGUUCUAAAAUGCAAAUUUUACGCAUUUGUCUCCAAUAAUCACCAUAUGGACUGAAUGCAAUAUCUUUAUUGUCAUAAAAUAUGAUGCUUGUAGAUGUAAGUUGUGGCCUAUUAGCAAAGGCGAGAUCAUGAGUUUUUAGAACUUGUUUUGCCAUAGUAGGUGAUGAUAUGACCACGGUAGGAACUUGCCCGAGUUGCAAGUACAUAAUAGGUCCAUAUCUUUGGGAUAAAUUUCUAAGAAUGCGAUGUGGAAGUCCUCCUCCGAUUAAGUGAUGCAGACUUCCAAUGAAGGGAAGUUUCCAUGGACCUGGAGGCAACUUAUUUUGUUUUUUAUUUCUCCAUUGUCUAAUUACAAUAAGAAGAGAGGACAAGAAGAGAAGCAAUGAAGCUAAGGAGUAAUUAAUCUCCAUUGAACAGGAAUUAAGGAUUGUUAAUGAAAAGGAAGUUUGGCUUAAUCACGUAAACAAAGAUAAUUUUUAUAUAAUCAUAUGUUGAGAAAACAGCAAUCUUAAUUAGCAUUUAAUAUUCAGAUCUUAAUAUUCAAAUGUAUAUUUAGAUUCAGUGGUCUUAAUCUUAAUAAAGGAAUGUUUGAAUUAGAAACUGAGUCAAGGACUGUGAAUUGUAGUUGGUUUAUCUGAAGUUGAUUAUUCUGAAAAUAUGUCUGAUAAAUACACCUACAAAUGGGGGAAUAGCUUGCCUGUCCUAGCUAAAGGUGGACAUGAUAUGAUAUACACAAAUACAAUAAUUAAAAUUUUGGUUUUGAUAAUUUCUACUUUCGUUUUAAAAAAAAAUAUUAUAUCAUUAUCAUAUUAAAUUGAUUCGUUAUAGUUUGGAAUUUCUUAAGUUUGAUAACGGUUAUAAUUAACAGUAAGGUUAAUUAGUAAUCAUAGUUUGUUUAACUUCAACUUACAUAUACUCAUAUAAUAGAGAAUUGUGAUUUCGGCUUUUUAAAAAAUGUCUCAAUUAUAUCAUAACUAACAUAUUACAUAGAUAAGAGAGAGUUACUCGAUGGUAAGCACCCUUCACUUCCAACCUUAGAAUUGUGAAUUCGAAUAAAAAAAAGUGAUUAAAAACCUUUUUUUCAGCAAGUAAAGUUUGUUAUAUCCCAAAAUACUGUGUUUUAAAUAAAAUCUCAUUUUUGGUGGUUUAUAUAAUGCUCGUAGUUCAUAAUCCUAUUUUGAAUUAAAAUAUUAAAGUAGGAUGAGAUAUUAUCGCAAAAAUUCAAAAUGCUAGAUUUUCGUCUUUGUUGAAUGUUCUUGAAUCUUUGGGUGAAUUCCUAUUGAUUUAACCCACAAGAUUAACAUUAAUUUGAUUUGCAUAAUAUAACUCACGAUAAUAUAAUAUUACUUUCACACUAUUUUUUUACAAACUAAUUAAGAAAUAACCCGUAGAUUACUCUUUCUACCCUUUAUUGCUUUCUCUAUUUUGGUGUGUCCUUACAAAUGAACAUAAUUUAUAAGGAAAAAUAUGCCCCAUUUGAUGUCACAAAUGACAUUAAUGAAAAACUUACUCAUAUUACACAUCUAAGCUUUUUUGACAUUGAACAAAAACAUUAAGAAAAUUGAUCAGACCAAAUAUUGUCGUCUAUUAAUAUAUAUAUAAAUAUAAUAGUUAUUCACUAUUGACUUGACACAUUAAGAAACUAUAAAUAAAAGGGUAAUUUUACAAUAUCACCCUUUGAAUAUAAUAAAUACAAUGUCUUGAAAAAUAUAAUAAGGAAAUGACUAUAAUUAAUGAUAAGAUAAAUUAGGAAUUAACUGUAAAUUUAUCCUUUGAUUUCAUAAAGUGGACAGGUAUUAUUAGACAUUUCAAAAUAGUAUAAUGGACAACUAUUGUUGAACGGAGGAAGUAUACGUUGCCACAAUGAAAUAUUUUUUGGAUGUUUAUAUUGUUGACACCCAAUUUUGGACCUCCACGUACAGAUUAAUUAUCUAGCUUCUUCAAUUUCAAACGAUUUAAAAAUAAUUAGUUUUUAUAAAAUUCAAAAGAGUUUGCGAGUUAUUUUGAAUAAAUUCGUCAUUUUUAUUAUUUUUAAUGAUAUAUGUCAUUUUAUAUUUAUGUAUAAUUAGUACAUUUUAUGCAUAUUCAAAAAUCAUUUUAAAAAAAAGAUUUUAUUUUUACUUAAGUAUUUUGGUAAUUAACUUAUAUAAUUAUAAUUUAUAUUUUGAAUUAAUUAAUUAAUAAUUUAGUUAAUUAUUUUAUUUCAUUAAGAUUAAGAAGUUCAUUCAUUAAUUUAUAUUAAUUCGUCUUAUUUAGUUUUUAGUCGAAUCACCAAUUAAACUAAAUUUGGCUAACUUCUUAAUUCCCAUUGGCCAAAAUUGCAAUUCACGUGGCCAUUUCCUAAUUGUGGAUUUAACCACAUUUUAAUCUUCCUUAAUCCAACUUCCAGCCCAUAUAUACAAUUCAACCAACAUCAACCCAAAACAAUUUCCAGAUUUCCCAGCCCACCAAUAAUACCAAAAGAUUACAUUCAGCAACCCAUCAAUUAAAAUACCAAAGAACCCAUUCUUUCAACAAUACAACAAACCCAACAACGUCCAGCGUACAAUACCAGACGACCCCACCUGCGUCUUCUUCUUCUUCUCCGCGAAACCCGAACCCGGCAGAAAAUCGCGACCCAGAACUCCAGUCCAGCAGCGACUCAACCCAGAAUCGCGAGCCCAGUCCAGCAAAAUCGACCCAGCUCUCCUCUUGUACAAGCUCAUACACGAAUUUUCCAGGUGGAGCGAUCUCACAUCUUCUUCGUCCUUCCUCCAAAAUUGGACGGCAACCAUUCUUUUUCCGUCGAAGAAUUGUAUAAGAAUCGUACUAUUACAGUUCUUCAGUCUUAUCCAAAGAAAAAUUCAAAUUUCAAAUGGGAUUUCAUCCAAAUUUCUACUCGAUUUCCCUCCAUAAAUCUGCCUUAGUUUCCUCCUAUAAAUAUCCCUUCUUAUUCAUUAUCUAGAGGUUGGAAAAAAGUUGGACGAAAAAGGUUGGGAAAAGUUGGAUUUUUCUACUGAUAGAGAUAGAGAGAAAUAGAUAUAGAAGUAUAUAAAUAUAUAGGAGAUAUAAUCGAACUAUCAAGGAAGACCUUUUUUCGAUCCUUUUCAUUUUCACUCGCCUUCUUUGUUUAUCGGAAUCUUCGAGGUUUAUGUUUGUGGUGGUGGCAGCUCGGUAUCUUUAGCUCGUGGUCUCUCGUUCGCAGCCCGGAGAGAGGUAAACCUGUAACAUCCGACAAUUUGAAAUAACUUUGAAGAGGCUUAGAAUUGGAAAUAAUCACUUUUGGAAAGAAUUGGAAAAAAAUCUGGAAAAUUUGGCCAAGUAUAGAAAAGGAUGAGUUUUUUUGCCAACUUUGAGCAGUCAUAACUUCUAGAUCAGGAUGAGUUAGAAGUAGUUCCAGUUAUGGUUUCAUAGCCCGUGGAAUGGUCUUUCCAACGCCACCGAGUUUGCUCGAUUUCGAGUUUGUAUGAGUGAGUUAUACCCUUCGAAAGUUGGGCAGUUGGCAGGGAAUCCGUCCGGAAAUUUAAGGGCAUUUUGGUUUUUUUUCCCUAGCUAUUUCUUUGAGGUUAUAUUGUGGUUUUAGGCUUAUUGUGGAUCAUUUUGUUCCAUUUUAAAAGAGUAAGAGAGCUAGGGCUUGAGAGUGAAGAAGAGAAGAAGAAGAGAAGAAGGAGAAAAAGAAAAGAAGGAAGAGGAGAGCAACAAGUUUCCGUCAAGGAUCCUCGUGGAUAUCGUCGGGGGUGAUCCCUAUCAAGGUAUGUGAGUUCUUUCUGUGGGUUGAUCCUUUCCUCCACACACCAAGCUCAUUUUAUGAUUUGAGAAAAGAUUGGAUUUGUUGUUGAAGUUGUUGGGUUGUGUUGGUAUUGUUGUUGAUUUUGAUGUUGAGAUUCUUGUUGAUUUGGGACUUGUUUUCGGUUGUGUUUUGAGUUGUAAUCCAUGGUAUGUUGAGGGAUAUGAUGAUCCUUAGUGUUUGGGGUUGAAGCCCUUGGAGUAAGGGUGGUUUAGAGUUGAAGAAACGAGGGAGAAAAGUCGAGUUUUCUGGGCGAGGGGUUGGCGCGUCGCGCCUGCCAGCGCGCCCCAAAAGGUCUUCUGAAUUUUCCCCCUUGGGGCGCCACGCCUAUCAGAGCGUCAACAAGACCCCUUUGAAUUUUUAGGGCUGGCGCUCCGCGCCUUGCAGAGCGCCAAGGACACCAAGUGACCCCUUUCAUUUCAUACAUUCCCAUGCAUGUUCCUUGGUAUUGUACCUAUGUUGUAUGGUUGUUUCCAACACUCUAAGGUACAUUUAAACCUCCCGAACUCAUCCGUAACAUGUGAUCAAACACCUUGAAUCCAUAAAUCCAAUUCAAGGAGAGUUAGCUAGAAGUCAAGAGUUAAGUUCAAGAGUUAAGAAGUAAGUCAAGCAAGUUCUUAAAGUUGUUCAAGAGUCUCUAUUGAACGUUUUAACUUCAUUUUUAAGACCAAGUUUCAAGUCAAGCAAAGAGCUUAGAGUUUCAAGCUAAGUAAAGAGUCUCAAGUUUCAAGUUAAGNNNNNNNNNNNNNNNNNNNNNNNNNNNNNNNNNNNNNNNNNNNNNNNNNNNNNNNNNNNNNNNNNNNNNNNNNNNNNNNNNNNNNNNNNNNNNNNNNNNNNNNNNNNNNNNNNNNNNNNNNNNNNNNNNNNNNNNNNNNNNNNNNNNNNNNNNNNNNNNNNNNNNNNNNNNNNNNNNNNNNNNNNNNNNNNNNNNNNNNNNNNNNNNNNNNNNNNNNNNNNNNNNNNNNNNNNNNNNNNNNNNNNNNNNNNNNNNNNNNNNNNNNNNAGCACCGAAUUGGGGACGCGAGUUCAUAUUAACUCAACUCUCCAUAAGAACCAUGUAGCCAACAUGGGAGUUAACGAGUCAUACUGUUUAGAUGAACCCGUAAGUUAAGCUAGUGGAUCCACUUAGUAAAGUUAGCUUCCUAUAUCACGGCAAGGUAUAGGAUGGUCCUCGGGCAACGUGAGGUAAAACGUUGUAUCACCACUCAGAUUCGUAGUGGUGGUUUGUCGGUUAGAGAAGCUCCCACAGUAGAAAGAGCAUGGUUCCUCGAGGGUUCUGCUUAGUGUGGAUGGGGUAUGGGACUUCAUUCAUGCAUUGCACAAGUAGACUUUGAGAGGAAGCAUGGUAUUUUUAUGAUAUUAUAAAUAUGCUUUUUGACGUCAUGUUUUAAAUUGUUUUACAAGCUUUAUAUCUAUUGCAUGUGUCUUAUUGCUUUAUAUAUUGAGUUCAGUUAUUCAUGAGUUGAACAGAGCCAAGGUAAGUUCUCUUUUGUAUCCCUUUCAAGCUUAAGUUGUAGUUUAGCUGUCCAGCUCUCAUACUCGUACAUUCCAUGUACUGAUGCCAGUUGGCCUGCAUCUUAUGACAAUGCAGACACAUGUACCCCGGAUCAGCAUCCUGUAUGCUGUUGAUCUAGCUGAGCACUCCAGAGUCAGUGGUGAGCCUCCUUGCUUUCCGGAGGACUCAGAUAUUUUGUUUCUUUUAGUUGUGUUGUUAGGAUGUUGCGGGGUCUGUCCCAACAUCCAUCUCAGUAUGUUAGAGGCUUCAUAGACAGUCAGUCAGUUAGUAUUGAGUCUCUCAUCUAUGUAUAUAUGUAAAUAUUCUAUUUUGAGACUCGAGUUGCCUUUUGGCAUGUUAUGCAUCAGGUGGUUGUUUUAUAACCUUUCAUUGCAUUGAGUUAUUCUAUUGAGUAAGGUUUCCGUUGAGUUAAGAAAGCCAGACCAAGGGUUCGCUUGGGGCCAACGAUGGUCUCCGAGUGCCGGUCCCGCCCAGGGUGUAGGCUUGGGGAGUGACAAAACCCUUUCCUAGUUUUGUAUACUUCAUAGUUCUUUUAUGUUUUUCUAUUCAGGUGUUCUUGGCUUUUUUUUAGUGUUCAUGAGCUAGACUCUGGUUGGAUAUUUGAGUAGCUGUUAAUGUUUCUGUUGUUCUUGUUGUUCAUAUUUCGUUAUAAGUACUCCUAGCUUUCGUGUUGCUCAUCUAGUUUGUUCUAAAGAGUAUUGGGUAUUUCGGUUCUAGUCCUUACACUUGUUCCUGUAAAUGUUAAGUAUCCGAUUUUGCGUUUAUGCAUCUAAGAAGUGUCACCUGUUUGGUUUGGUCUCUCUGCCAAGAGUUUCUGAUUCUAUCUUCCCUUAUCAUGAACUAGUUGUUGUUUGCUUUGUAUGUUAGGUAUUAAUACCUCUUCUGCUUUAAACAAUAUAAUGUUAUGAUUUUAAGAGUAUUGAAUUAAUUAUUGAUUAUGAAUCAGUGAUGUGGCUUAUUAAUUAAUUCAAGUGUUCUUUCAAUUCAUUGUUUGGAGUUUCGUUAUUUCGCCUAGUGUCGUUAAUUAAUUCAAGUGCUCUUUCAUUAUUUCGUUUAAUUUCACCAGGUCGUCUGUAUACUGUAGUUCAGUUUGAGCGUCAGUUUCAGUUUCUUAUUUGCAGUCUUUUCUUAGUAGAAUUUCGUUUAAUGUAGAGCAACAAUGUUUGGGUUUGUUUAAUAUCAUCGCAUUACACUAGCGGGUCGGCUUUUCUUGUUAUUCUUUUGGUUUAUAAUCUUUUUUUUUGUGGCAUAAAUCUGAAAGUUGCAUUGUUAUAUUGUAUAAAUCAACUCUCUGCUGCUCGAUAAAUUAUGGUUUUUUAAAUUUAAAUUUUAUCAAUCUAAGUUAAGUUGUCAUGGAUUUGAGUCUAGCACAAAGUAAGUUAUGAUUCCUUUUGUUUAGAGCGAGUAUUUACCCCUCCUCUCGGUUAGUUUCAUGACUCCAAUGUGGCCCUAUCUUGUCUAUGACUAUGAUCCAAAUAGCUUGGUUAAAUGUUGAGUUUAAAUAGUCAAUAUGUUAGGAUACGAGAAUAAAAUAAAAUGUUCCUCUCUUAUCAGUAGAUAUAUUACUUCAGUUCUAAAUGAAGUGGCAAGUGAAUGUGCAUAUUCUUUCUUUAAGUUAUGAAUUGACUGAUUGUUAUGUUGUGCUAGGGUCACAUCCCUCUUUUGUUUAAACUUUGUUUUAGUAAGGUUAUGAGCUCAUAUGUCUUCAUAAUUGACUGACCAUUAGAUGGCUUUCUUACUCUGUAUAGUUACAUUUUAUCAAUUAAGACUUCGUUAGUCUUCUGUUGCCUAUGACUAUAAGAUGUUGAUGGUGUUAGCCACUUUGCCUUUAGAUGUUCUCUUUAGUGAAUAUUGACGGUGUGACUUUAUCUGAUGAGAGCUGAAUCGAUAUAUUUAUUCAUGAUUAAUUAUUAAUCCUCAUCUUAUCAUUUUUGUUGCAUGUGAAUUUACCCCGAUUCCCACAGAUUUCUUUCCUCAUUUGCAUUUCGAUAAUCGGGCCAUGGAGGCCCAAUUCUGCCCUUUUAUCGAGUCAGCCAGUAAAGGGAAUAAAUGUGCAAGGCUGGAACAUCAAAAAUACAGAUCCCGGGAGCCAAAAACACACUGAUGUACAGUGUGAUACACAGAUAUACAUCAGCCGUAUACGCUGUAUAUUACAUCGAAUAUGGGCUAAAGGAGCCCCAAAAUUUCAGCUUUGUGUUUUUGUAAUUAUUGGGCCAAAGACUCAUUUAUUUUGAUUAUUUUGUUAGUUUAGGACAGAUGAAAAUUGGGCCUAAGGCCCAAAGAGAAAGUCAGUUGCUUUAUGUUUAGUUUUAGGACAGGUACAAAAUGGGUCAAGGGCCCAAAGUUGAAUUUAGGCCCAAGUACCUCCCCAGGCGGAUAGAAACCGGGCUUGGGCCCAAGCCUUCCCUUCCUUAUUAUGUAAUUGUUGAUACUUGUUUAUUUGUUUAUUUGGUUUUGAGGUUUUCCUAAUUCGAUUCCCUGAAGAGACCAUUUUGAGUUAAUACUUAUAUUUUCUAAGAUUAUCGAUUUUCUACUUAACCCUCUAAAGAAUAUUUGCAAAUUUUACUUAAAUAUUAUCCUUAUACUAUUUCCCUUUCCUGUAAAAAAUAAUUUCAAGUCUUAAGUUUGUUUAUUUCUAAACUAAUCAAGUAUGCUUAUCUUUUAAAAAUGAUUAGCCAAAUAUUUUAAUUGCCGGAUAACCGCGUGUUAGCGGGCAUUUCGGGUGCUUUCAAACCCUUCUCGAAAUGCUAAUAUGAACCCCGAACUCCAUUUUAAUAUUUUCAUUAGAUUUCUGUUUUAAUCUUUUGAAAAAAUAGUUUUCUUGAUUUUUCUUAAAAAUUACCUGGCGACUCUUAAUGUAUAUGGUCACUACUCACUAUAAUGGGAUUGCAUUAAUGCACAUGAUUACCAUAAUUAUACACUGCACAUAUUAUUAUUAUUAAAAUUAUAAAUAAAUAACGAUGACAAUUAAUAGAAAUAUUAUCACUUUGAGGAAAAACCUAUUCGGAAUGUACAUUUCCAAUUUGACACUACUACACCAAUUUCAACUUGAGUCCUCACAUGCUAAGGAGAUACAAAAACUAGAAUAACUUGAUGGUUUUUCCAUUAUUCAUUGUCAUAUUUUAUUGAAGAAACAUUAGAGAAAAUGAUUAUUGUUGUUCUGGCAUAAUUAUCCUCAUAUUUUGACAGGUUCAACCAGUAACAAGUUAAUUAUGUUUUUAAGUUUGCCUUUGGAGUUUGUGUAUCCAUCUUCUUCUUUAUAUAGAGUGUCCAUCACACGUGCAAAAUUUAAAACUCGUUCGAGAACAAAUAUUGGUACUUCAGUUGGACGAAAGAGGAGUUCUUUGUUUAUGUCCUUCCAUCCAUUGACAACUUCUUUAUGAUACUUAGUAUAUGCCUCUUGCUUCGACGCUCCAUAUUCUGCCAUAUAGCAUUCAAUACUUGAAGCUACAUGUCCUCUUAGUUGUUCAUCCUACAUCACAAUAAGUGGUUACAAUUAAUAGAAUGAAUAUCAAUUACUUAAUUAAGGUAUUGUUAUACUUACUUCAUGUCCAAUGAUAUCGUCCAUUCCUCUAUUAAUUAUCGAUGCUGCACGAACUAUUAAAGGCUCAUUUAUUAUCCAUUCAAAAGUCUCUAUGCUUAUAAAUUCGUCCAUACCGAUCAAGGAAGUUGUUGCUGCCAUCAUAUACCCACAACUUACAAGUGCAUUCUUCAUAUGCUCCUCACAUUUUGGAAUAUAACGAGCAUCCAACCAUUGAGCUUCCUUAAAAUAGGCUCUUACCAACUUCUUCAUCUAAAUAAUUAAUUAAUGUAAAAAAUAAUAUAUUAGUCUUUUGGAAUGAGAGUGAUUUAAUUUAUGUGGGAUUAUAAGUUAAAGAAAUUAAUAUUACCUCAUAUUUUGCAUAGUAUACACGGUCCGAUUUACCUUCUUUAGCCAAUAAUUGUUCCAUUUCAUUGUAAACGUCAAUAAGGGCUUGAUAAGCAGGUCUCAUAUAUGGCGGUAGUGAAUCAAUCACACUAAUGUCCCAUCUAAAAAUUAAAUCAGUUUUAUUUGUAUCAAAAUUAACUACAAGCUACUGAAUUUUUAUGUCUUGCACAUGAUAUUGUAUAUAUAGCAUUUCUUAAUAACAACAUCAAGAUAUGUUUUUUACACUAAUUCUAGAUUACCUCUGGAUCGCAUCAGUGAACGGCACAAGUUCGUCAAAGGUUGCAUAAGCAUCAUACGUGUCAUCAAUAAUUGAAGUCAUCUUGAUUACUUUUGCCAUCAUUUUUCUUGCACGACUAUAUUUAGGCUCAAAAUACACUCCUAAUAUCCAAAAGUAACACUCAACGAGUCUGUCUCUUGCAUGCGGAUAUUUGUUUGCGAAAUCCAAAUCUUUCCACCACCUACAUGAAAAGAUCUGCAGUUAAUUUGUUGCAUUUCAUUUUUAUUGUUUAAUUAAUCUAAAAUUAUGUACUAGUACCUUGUUAGCUCGCUAAGCUCACUCUGAUGCAGCUUUUGGAGCGCGUUAAAAUCCAAUUUAGCAAAUUUCAAAAGCAAAUGGUUGUGUGCAUCAUUGUGUUCGUAAGUGGAUAUGUAUUUCCUAGCUCCCACCCUUGGUAAAGUCUUGCGAAUAGGCUGUUUUAAGGCUUCAGUAACUUCAACCUUAAGAGAGUUAUUGCUCAAGUUGGAGACAAUAGACUCGAGAUGAUUGGUGGCAAAGGUAAGAGCUUCUUCAAGAAUCUCCUCAUCGCGCAUUCUCAGAUGUGAUGCUUCAUACAAACUUAAUAAACCUUGGACAUCAUUAGUAAGUGUUUCCUUGAAUUUUCCAUCUUGGUCCAUGAAUUGCUUGAAGACAUCAGCUGCAGGUUGGUUAAUUAAUUAAUAUGUAUAUCAUGUUCAUCGUUAGUACGUAAGAAAUUGAACUUUAUUAAUAGUUGUAGGACUACACCCAACAAUAAUAACGCAAGUCUAUUAAAAUUUAAGUAAUUAAGUAUAGUAAUUAAUUACCAGAAGAGAUGUGAUGUCCUUGUUGCCUCAGUAGUCGGAAACGAAGAGAAACAACGUAAAGGUUGCCAUCAAUAUUCUCACUGUGUAGUUGGGAUAUUGUCGUAUCAAAAAUGUUUUGAAUGGAUGUUUUGAUUUCAUUAUGGAAAUGAUAUGCUACUCCCAGUUGUUGGAUUGUGUCUAUCAACACAAGUUUUUGAGUGCUAUUGUCACAAGUUUCCACCAACAUUUUCCUGAAUAUCUCUUCUAACUCAUCAAUUUCAACCUUUUCUUGGAUACUUAUUUCCUGCAGGACAUCCAAAAUUCAACAUUACUUACUAUAAUUGAUUAUAAGUUUUAAAUGCGUCGUGAUUGUAAUAUUUCUCUAGUACAAAAAUUAAGAAGGUAUAGCAUGAAAAAUUAAGCAAUAAUAUAAUAUAAUAAAAAAAUAGUAUGUAAUAACUCACAGGAGUAUAAGAAAGGAAAUGAUAACCCCAAACAGUUGAGUGAAAAUUAGCCAAGGGACGAGACUUAUUAGGGGAAGAAGUAGUCAUUGCUUCUUUUUUCAAGUUUAGUUUGUGGCUUUAAGUUAUGCUGAUCACCUAUUUAUAAUGUACCUACCUAGAUCCAUUGAAUUAAAUUUUAAGGAUUCAAUUAAUAAUUUGUUAUUGGUUCCUUAAUUUUUGUAAAAGAUUGCACAUGUAUAUGUUAAAUUAGGUCUUAGGCCUAACUCACACCCCAAAAGCUAGCUCAAAGGGAGGAGGAUUGCCCAAGCCUUAUAAGGAGUCCACCCAUUUCAUUAACCAUCGAUGUGGGACUUUUGUCAUUCUUUAACAGUAUAAUUUUGAAAAGAAUAGACAUUUCAUACUGUCACGAUCCGAGCCUACACUCUGGACGUGGCCGACACUCGAGAACCAUUGUUGGUUCUCAAGUGAACCCUCAUCCUGGCUGACUUCAAGCGGAAGACUAACUCAAGCAUACAAAGCUUAAAAACUGAAUAAAAUUCAUGAACUUAAAUAGAAAGCUUUAACUCAAAAGAAAACUCCGAAUAAAACAAAUUAUUCAACUCGCCAUAAAGUAAGGAAAGAGAAAGAAGCUUAUAAUCUUACAUUUGAUCUACUAUAGCUGCUUUUAUAAUGACUCAAUAAUGAUUCAAAUGACCUUAUAAAUAAAUGACAAAAAAUUGGCCAAAAUAGUCCUUGAGGUAUAUAAAACGAUAAGUAAUUAUUAUAAGGAAAAUGUUUCAUUUCAAAAGAAUUAUUAACUUUUGAUCAUUUACUAACGCAAGACGGCAAGAGUUUCCCCUCUGCUGACAACUCAUUUUCCAAGUGUCAUAUUUAAUUCAUGAGUUUGUCUAUGUUAUUUUAUUUCUCCGCUAAUAACUUGGCUAUUCAUGUAUUUUCUAAUUAAAUAAGAAAGACUUGUUUAAUUUUGGGGAAACAUUUCACACCGUUAAAAUAAUUUCUUAGGACAAUGCCCAACACAGUUCAAGUAUUAAUAUUCUAUACUAUUAUUUAUAUAUUAUGAUAGUAAUAUUUAUCUAAAUUUGAGUAUUAUUAUUUUGCUAAAUAUUAAGUUAUAUUAUUAUUAAUGAUUUUUUCAUUAUUUCCCAAUAAUUAUUUUGGCCCUAAGUCCUAAAACUAAUUAUUAAAGUAAAAAAAAUGUUUUGUUAAAUUUAAUUGCGGAUCUCUUAAAAUUGACACAUCAUUUUCCCCUAAAUCUUCUUUCUUUCAUCAUUAGUAGAGGUCAAGCUCCAUCCUCAAUCACGUGACCAAUGAAGAUUGUGGUGGAGUGGUAAGUAGUACUCCUUCAUCCUUAAUCAAAGGUCUCAAGUUCGAGUCCUUUUAGAUACGGAGUCAUCUUUGUUAGAGAGCGCGCUUUACCUCUAAUGUAAAACUUCCUAACGCGAAAUCAAAUUUAAUUUAAACUAAGCAAAUCAAAUCAAAUCAAAUGGCAAAACUGAACGGACAAAGGUGGACAGUAGAAUCUAAAAAAAAUCUUUCGAAAUUUGAAGAGAUUUUUGUGUCAAAAGAAGGUUUGGGUAAUGGAAAUAAUUAGAAUAAAGUACCAACAAUUGGAAAUUGAUUGGUUGAGGGAGAAGGGGGAUCACUCAGAUAAGGAUCUAUCCAGAUAAGGACAUUGAUGAAGACCACAGAAGACGUUUGGGCGUGUUUGGUAUCUAGGAGAAAAUGUUUUUCAAUUAUCCUAUAUAUAUUUUUAAUUGGUAAAAAUGUUAAAAAAAUUAAUUAUAAAAUAUUUAUCAAAUAUUAGAAAUUAAUAAAUAAUUAAGAUAUCAUUUUUUGUGAAAAAAUAUUUUCCUCCGUAUCAAACACAUGGGAGACUCAAUGAUUAGUGGAUUUGAUAUUGUUCUUCAUGAUGACUCUGAACCCAUAGAUUAUAAUAAUUGUAUGUAUAUAUAUAAUACAAACAAAUCAACAUUCGUCAAAAUACUGAUAAAUUACAUGAAAAAAUAUCUCCAUAUAUAUAAUUAGUGGAAUAGCUGACAAAUCCACUCAUAAACAGAUUAAAAUGAAUUACAAAUAUUUACAAUAUUGGAUAGAAGCUAUGGAAGAUAUAAAACUAUUAGAACAAUUAAUGGAGGAAAAUUUAUAUAUGUACCAAAGAACCCAAGAUAUGUUAUAUCUAGAAUAUAUCAUAAAUAAUAUUAAAGAAAUAUUCAGAUUAAAACAACUAUUGGAAGAAUAUUACAAUAAAUAUUACUACAUAUUACCAUGAAUUUAACACUACCAAAAAAUAAUAUUAAAGAGAUAUCAAGAUUAAGACACUUAGCAAAAAGAUAUUAUAAUAAAAUCUUUAAAAUAAGUUACUCACCUACCACACUACCACCUACCACACUACUACUUCUAUGAUAAAAAGUUAUGAAACUUUAAUCUUAUAUAUACUUAAGGUAGAAACAUACUAGUUUCUACCCAAAAGGAAUUCAAUUUUACUCAAUUCAAUCUUUGACUAAAAAACCUGAACUCCAAAGUUUUAAUUCCUAGGUUUUAGAUAAAAUCUCAUUUUUUUGGUGUUUUUAUAUAAUGCUCGUGGUUCAUACACCUAUUUUGAAGUAACAUAUAAAAAUGGGGUGAGACAUUAUCACAAAAAUCCAAAUAGUAUUUAUUAUCUCAGAAAUUAGCUAGUUUUUAAGAUUGUAAUGGAUGAUAGUGAUAAUUAUGAUGAUGGUUAUUGUUGAUGGUGAUUGACAAUUUAUAAUUGUUGCUGAUGGUGGUGGUUAUCUGUAGCAAUUAGAGUUUAUUGCACCAAUGUAAAUUAGUGGUGAUGAUUUUAAAUAGUGGCUAGUGAUGGUACUGAAGGCUAACUGUGGUGAUUGGUGGCGCAGAAGCAAGGGCGUAUCUAGAGGGGGUGUUGUGGCUUCAUGUGAAUCCAUGCUCCCUUCUCUAGAUCAUAUAUAAUAGUGUUAUAUUUUAAAAACAAUAUAAUUUACAUAUAGAGGUGUGAAUCCACGUUCAAAGUAUCAUAUAAUAAUAUGAUGAUGAUUGGUGCACUUCUAUAAGUGAGGAUAGAAAUUUAAAUCUUAUAUCUAUCUUGUUUUUUUGAAUAAAAUCUCUCUAAGUGGUUAUCGGUUACACUUUUGGCGUAUCAACUAAUUUUUCUUUUGUUUUUUGUCUUUAAUCUUUCAAAAUUUUCAAGUGUGUUACGUUAAAAAUUCAUAAAAAUUUAGCACUGUAAAAUUUUUAUAUAAUUAAAUCAAAUUUGUAUAUUAAAAUUUAAAACUAGUAAUAUUAUAUAUUUUGGACCUAUAAUUUUUAAAAUUUAAUGGUUCAUAUUAAUAAUCUAAAAUUCAAACCGAUCAAAUUUAUAUUUAAGAUGCAUUUUUUUGGUAGUCGUACACCCAUCUCGCGAAAAUCUUGGAUAGAAGUAGUUGAUGAGGAUGGUGGUUGUAGGUGGUGGGAGUUGAUAUUGGUGGAUAGUGGUUGUUAGUAGUGAAGAGCCAUUUUUAUAGAAAUUCUUGAACUGACAUAUUAGUGAUAUUAAGAUUUUGUUAUAUACUUCCUCUGUUCAAUUAUACUUGUCACUUAUUUCUAAAAUAGAUUUUCAUUUUUACUUGUCACUUUUGACAUAUCAAGAACAAACGAUUAUAUUUUCCCAUGUUUUACCCUCAGCAUUAAAUACUCUUUCUCCAAAUCAUCUUUUAAGACUUAAUACUAAACAAUCAUUUAAUAUGAAUAGUUUGGUAAAAUACCUAUAUCAAUAAUUGUUUUCUUAAUGGGUGUGUCAAGUCAAACAAUGACAACUAAAAAUGAACGGAGGGAGUAUCUAAAUCAUUCAAAUUCAUCAGGUGAACAAAAUUUUAAAAAACAAAUUUAUUCGUUGAGAACAAUUUAUACAUCCGUGAUUGGGGUUGAAAAUUGUGUUUGGAGCGCAUGUAAAAAUCAUAUUUAAUCUCAGUCACGUGUCUGAAGUUUUUUUGUCAAUUUUUUUUGUUCUUUCGAGUUUCAACAAUUCAACACUCAAAUCUACUCCAAACAAGCUUUGAUUUGAAACAUAGAUUCCAUAUAUCAUAAAGAACAAAGUUUAAUCCUUAAUUGUGAAAUAAUGACAAAAUCUAACAAAUUCAUUUAUAAGUCAUACAUGAUUUUAAGUUUUUUAUUUUUGUUUGAAAAACAACUCUCGAUCAUUAAUUUGUCAAAUAAUGACAAAUCUAACCAACUGGACUCUCGAUCAUUAGUAUCAUUUGAAUUUUUUAUUUAUGACUGCACUCGGUACAUAUAUGACUGGAACAUUUGUUAAAAUUGAAUAAAUUCAGUUUUAUAUGUCUAAAUGCAGAAGCAAAACAAAAGCAUGUGUUUUUGCAUGAUAAUUACCUAAAUACUGAAUAGUCAUGAUUUUUUUUUUUUUUACUUAAAUAGGAAAACUAAAACAAGCACUUCAUGAAAUUUUUAGUAUAUUAAAAAAAAUUUAGUAUAUUAAAAACCAAAGGCAUAAAGAUUUCCAUUGACUAGUAAGGAAAGGAAAAGUAGCUUUAAUUUGAUGGAUAUUGCAUAGUAGCUUUUAGCCACUUUUAUAAUGGUCCAAUACCCAAACAAUUAUGAAUGUCGUUAUUGAAAAAAAAAUAUUUUCACCCAACUUAUUGUGUAUGGUCUGAUUUCUAAUUUAAAAGCAAAUAAAUUCAAAUUUUAAAAUUUCAUAUUUCCAUCUUGUCACUCAACGCUUCACCCUAAAUUCUUUUAUUUCUUGGAAGUUGAAGAAGAAAAGUAGUCUUCCAUCAUAUUAUGUCUAGAGGAUUGUAGGUCACAAUUUAUAACCAAUCAGAAGUAAAUCUUUUUUUUAAAAUUUUUUUAUCACCAUAUGGUGGUGAGACCUCUAUAUUGAUGAAUAAAAUUACAAAGCUAAGGAGAGCUUAAGCUCGGCCCAUUAUUCAAGUAGCUGCUUUGCAAAAAUUAAGGAAUCAACAAAAACUAUACAAGUUUUGCACAAAUUUAUAAGUCCAGCGUAAUAGACAAAAUUAACUAUAACAUCUCAAGUGGAUCAGUUAUAUACAAAAUAAUUUUUCCUCUGCUUAUGCCUUAGGGACUCCAUUUGUAUGAGAUCAAGUUUGUAAGGUCCGAUGGCUAUCGAUGGUAGGUGAGCCUGUGCAAAAAUAAACAACUCCUCAUUUGUAAUACUCCAUUUUGCCAAGACAUCUGCAACUUGGUUGGCCUCCCUAUAACAAUGUCUAACCUCACAAGUAAUAGUACUUGAGAUAUUUUGAAUACAAGUAAUGAUAUUCUUCAUUUGCCAAUGGAUAUUGUAAUUACCUUUGAUCAUCUCAACAACUAUCUUUGAAUCACAUUCCAAGAUUACAUUGCUAAGCUCAUGUUGAGAACACCAUUCCAGAUCAUUUAAAGCAGCAUUGGCUUCGACUAUAUUGGUAAUAUCCCUACCAAUACUUCGAGCAAAGGCUAUGAUAAUUUUACCUCUAUGAUCAUUACAAAUCCCUCCAGUUCCAGCUCUUCCAAUGGCAUCCAUGCUUCCAUCAGUAUUAAUCUACACCAAAUUUCAGGGGGGUUUGAUCUAUUUAACCACACUACAUUCAAUUUUUUUGGGAAUAAAGUCAGUGAUCUGUUGAUAGAUAACUCCCCCACCUAGAGCUUCAUUCUAUAUUAGCCUUUGCCCUAGACACCAACCAUUUUAGAUGAGAUAGAAUUUGAUAUUGAAUCCUCUUUGUAUAACAUUUGUUUCCUCCAUAAAUUACUGAACAUCUCGCUUUCCGUAUCUCCCAACAAAUUACGACAGGAGUAAUUUGUUAAAUAGUAUAAUGGAGUGAGUUUUUUGGCUUGAUAUCCCACCAUAUUUUGACCAUAUACUUGAUAAGUACCGGGUAUAUCCUCCCAAGAAAUUCCAACAGGAUUUCUAAAAAAAACCAUAUAUGUUUUGCAAUUUUCUCCCCAAUGAAGGUGUGGUGCAUAGUGUCUCUUUGGUCAAUAGGGAAACAAAAACACAUGGCAUCACAGUAUAACGAUCGGGUUCCGUCUUUAUAGAAAAGCCAACGGAAAAAAUUUGGGUCGGAGAACUUUUUCGUAGUAACUUGGAAUUUCUCAACCUAGUUCAGAUUUGGACGAAAUUAGAGUUGUCGAGGUGUAGGGAAAUCUGGUAGCAAUUGGGUGAUUUAAUUAUGAUUUUGAUUACAUGAGUAAUUAGAUAAGUCGUUAAGGAAUCCAUACGACUUAACGAAAUUGAAUUCGGGAGAGUAAAACUCCCUGAAUCGAUCUUAGCGUGAAGGGGAUUUUCUGAGUGUUGUUGGUUAGAGGUGUGUUGUGAAAUGGGGGUCUUGGAAUUAUUAAAAUAGCUCACUAUUUCGUGCAAGCCGCUUUGUCGCUGGGUUUUGUCGCUCUGGCGGGAUCGUGUAGCGGGGUGAGGGCCAUUGUGGUAGGCCAGACGCGACUUAAAGUCGUAAAUAAACCCCUAAAUGAUUUUAUUCUACACUUUUUGAUUUUUAGAGCUAAGGAAUGACCCAAGGCGACUCUUGACAGUUUUUCACCAUUCUUGAGGCUAAAGGUAAACUUUUAACUCUCCGAAUCCAUUUUUCGAUCCGUCGAACGUAAUCUAAUGGGUAAAUAUCAAUGAGGGAGGGUUUUGGUCUAUAAUUUAUGGUGGUAACAACCCUAAUUAGGAUAAUUGGGAUAUGAAUAUGAUCUAGGGUUGUUAGAAUUGUAAGUAAUUCGGGUAAUUAGUGAUUGUUUAUUGAUUUCCGUAUUAUAUUGAUUGUUUGUAGACCAAGAACAAGCAGAACGAAUCCAGAAAGGGAAGGAUCAAGUUUUUUAGGGUUUCAAGCUUGUUUCAAGGUAGGUGAUGGUUGUGAUUCUAUGAUUGUGCGAUGUAUGCUUGUUCUUGCUUCAUUAUGAUAUAUGUAUGUGUAUGAAUAUUGCAUUAUUGAUCACACCUGCUGUAAAUGAGAUAGAUGAAUGAUGGUUACCAUGAAAUCAUGACUUAAUUGUAUGAUUUUGAGGAUAUACUUAUGAUUGUGAUUGUGGUGUGUUGAAUGGAUCGGUUGCCACGUUCUGGCAUAACUAACUUGGAUCGGUUGCCACGUUCUAGCAUAAUCAUGGGAUCGGUUGCCACGUUCUAGCAUAAUCAUGGGAUCGGUUGCCACGUUUCCGGCAUAAUCAUUGGAUCGGGUACCAUGUUUCGGUAUGCUAACUAUUUAGGUUUGGGUUCUAUGAGUGGACCAAUGACUUGUCAUAAUUGUGUAUCUUGAAAAAUGUGAAGUUGUUCGUUGUUCAUAAAUGUUGAUAAUAUUGUAUAUGUUUGAUAUAUGUAUGUUAUUAUAUUGUUGUAUUGACUAAUGUAUGUUAUACUUAGUGGGAUAGCCAUGUAAUCCUACCAGUACACUGUGGUUGUGUAUUGAUACUGCACUUGCUCUUAUUUUUGUUAAGUACAGGGCAUCUUCAAGCGGCUAUUGACAGGCCUCGCUUAGAAGAUCAGUGACCGUUUUUGAACUCAAGGGUGAGCUAGUUCUUUCGGGUUGCCAUGGGUUCUCUUUCGUUUAUGUCCACCAUUUCGGACUUAGACUUUUUCUAGUUAAUUGAUUAGUUCAUUAGUUGGGGUUGUAUCCCUUCUUGUUUAAACUUGUUGAACUUUAGAUGUUUUGGUACAUUUGACUUUUCAGGUUCUAGGUUAUUUCUUCCGCAUUGUUUAGUUCGUUGUUAGACUUUUGUUGGAGUUUAUGGGAACUCCCUAAUUCUUUCCUUAGUAUUUAACUUUCUUUUGUAACUUAAAUGCUUUAGUUUUUGGUUCAGUUGCUUGGUUUGGUUUAUAGUAGUGGUUUUCCCACCAGAGGGUUAGUGUGGGUGUCAAUCACGACGGUCUAGGUCGUGACAAAGUUGGUAUCAGAGCUUAGGUUCGUUGAUCUCGAUGUACCAAAAUGAGUUUAGUAGAGUCUUGCGGAACAAUACGGGGAUGCCUUUACUUUUCUUCGAGAGGCUAUAUGACUUUAGGUAAUCUCUCUGUUUUCUCUUGUCUCCUUUCGUGUUAUGAUUUGAUUCCAAUUGGUAUCUGGCGAUUCAAAUUAAUAUCUAACCUCAUUCACUUUUCUGUCUGCAGAUGGUUAAUACUAGAUUCAACGGUGUCAGUCCGUUGAUCCCGUCAAUGCUCCAACUGAGGAAUCUACAGCGAGAGGUCGCGGUCAAGGCAAGGGUAGAAGAAGAGCUAGGGUAGAGGCCGUGGAAGAGUAGUGCUUGCUGGGAAUGGAGCUCAUGUUGAGAAUGCUCAUGUGAAUGAGAACCCUCCUACGCAUCAUGAGGAGAUAGAGGAGAAUGUUGGUGUUGAGAAUGUUGAGGAUGUGGGACAAGAGGAAGAGGUGCAGGCUGAGACUACCGAUGUUCCUCUCAUAGACCUAGUGUUAGCUCGACAUAUCAUGUCAUUCUUGAAAGGGUUAGUUGGUCCUGGAGUGCUUUCUUCUGUUCAAGCAACUCAAGCUUCUGCUAAUCCCCUUGUUGUUAGCACUGUGCCCAAGACGGGUGGAAUGAGAGGUAACGAUGCUUUCUUUCAUCCUUUGUUGGGUUCUGUUAUGACUGGUAAUGAGCAUGAAAUGUUGACGAAGUUUUUAAAACUAAAGCCUCAUGUGUUUCUUGGUUCUGAGAAUGAGGAUGCUUAUGAGUUCAUCUUAGAUUGCUAUGAGAGGCUUCAUAAGUUGGGAAUUGUCCAUCAGCAUGAUGUUGAGUUUGUGUCCUUUUAACUUCAAGGUGAGGGUAAGCAGUAGUGGAGAGCUUAUAUGGAAUGCAGAUCUUCUACUUUACCUUUACUUAGUUGGACCCAAUUUCAUGCUAUAUUUUUGAAGAAAUAUGUGCCUAGGACUUUGAGGGAUCGCAAGAAGGAUGAGUUCACGGCUUUAGAGCAAUGUGGUAUGACUGUGGCUGCUUAUGAGGCCAAGUUCCAUAUUUUGUCUAGAUAUGCUACUCAAUUGGUGACUACUGAGGAAUAAAGAAUCGGUUAUUUAUUAGGGGACUAAAUUCUGAGUUGCAAGUGUUAUAUGUUCAUAUGACUUCUGCAGGGAGGAACUUCAAUGAGGUAACAGACUAUGUUAAGAAAGUGGAGGGGGUGAGGCGAGACAGUCAGGCUAAGGCAUUGGCAAAAGGGCCAAGAACUCGAGUAACUUUCAAGGUUCUUACUCCAGGGGUCCAGAAGGCCAACGAUUGCAGGCAAGCCAAUUCAGUCCGCUAUGCCCACCUCUAUAGGUAACUACUUAGGAACUCUAUCUCAUAAUUUGAUUCAGGAUAGCCAGGGAGUCGCACCUUCAGCGGGUAGCAGGCUAUCUUUUGAUCGUAUAUGUUACAACUGUGGAGAGCCUGGGCAUAUGAGGAGAGAUUGUCCCUACCCACGUGUGUUAGAUUCCGCGCAGCAGCAGUCUAGAGCAGUGGUACCCGCGGGAAAUGGUAAUAAUGGUAGAGGACACCCAUAAGGUGGGCGAGAAGGUAAUCAGCGAAGCCGUGUAGGUAGAUGAAAUGGUAAUGCAGGUAGAGGUAACAUGCAAGAAGUGGCUCAUCAAGAUGAUAGGGCUCAGUUCUAUGCCUUUCCGGGCAAGAAUGAGGCAGAGACAUCUGACGCGGUGAUCACAUGUACUAUUUUUGUCUGUGACCGGAUGGCUAAUGUGAUAUUUGAUCCAGGUUCUACUUAUUCAUAUGUAUCCGUGAGAUUUACCUCAAAGUUUGAUAUGAUUUGUGAUAUACUUGAUGCCCAUAUCCAUGUUUCUAUCCCAAUAUUAUUGAGAUGAAAUCCAAAAUAAAAUGGGCAGCAUUAGGAGGUCUGGUGUUAUCAUUUGCUUCAUUGAUUGUUCACUUGUUUCUUGCAAAGUCCACUGUUGAUCUUGUACAAUACACUGCAAUUACAAUUUUUACUGAGGAUUUAACUCCAACGUUAGCC
rnacentral:lncRNA from 1 species